AAAAAAAAAAAAACCAUAGUUAAAUGAGUUUUAUCCGAAGAAAAACAAAGUAAGAAAAUGGAAGGGCAACAACAGCUGAGGAGAGAAGAUUAUCAAGAAAAAGAAGAGAGAGAAACAAAAAUGCAGCAGUUGCCAUUGGAGAGCAGCCCAUAUUUGAAGCACACCGAUUUGGGGGAAUAUAAUCUUAUGGGUCACGGUGCCGUCGAGUGGCAGCUCAGCCCAAAGGGUGGCGGCGCCACCACCAUCUUCACCUCCGUCGACGGAAAUCGAUUUUCUCCUAAACAGGCUGAUGCCGUCGAUAGAAAAUUGAAGUGAUCAUUGAAAGAAAGAAAAAAAAAUGUUGUAUUUACUUGUUGCUAAUUAGGAUUUAUAUUUAUGCGUUUUAGAUUUUCCUUUUUCUUUUUUCGUGUUUUUUUAUUUUUCUAUGUCGGAUCGGACACGUUGUAUGAAAAAUAAGCCCGAAAUCGUCGGUUGUUGACGUAUACUUUCGUCGAUUGUAGAUGUCCAUUGGUAUUUGAAUUCGUUGUCGUACAGUAACUCGUAAACUAUAUGAGAGAGGUAAAUUGCAUUGGUCAAGCAUUAUGCAACGAGUUAUUGAACUCGGUUUUUUUUUUUUUUUCUUGUGCCAGUAAUCUUAAUAUAUUCUAUAUAUUAUGUUAAUUCAAGCUCCCAGAAAUCUAUUUAAAAUUUUCUUAAUUAAUGUGCAUCCAGCUUAAACGACACUUAAAAAUAAAUGGAGGAAGUAACUUUUUCAGAACUUAGUUACUUAGUAAAGCAUUUUUCUUUGAUUUUAUUUAUCGAUAUCAAAGAUCGAAUUUCCUCUUCGAUUUCAGGCAUAUAUAUAUAUAUAUAUAUACUUGAUAAUUAUGUUUAAAUAAGGUCUCUAAUUUAUUCGAACUUCAUGGCAAUACAAUACGAAAAAGUGUUGGCCGAUGUUUUUAGCAACGAUAAACACAAUUACAAGUAUCACUCAAAGUACAGUAUGCUCGUAAGACAACGCUUCCAUCUAGCGCCUUUUGGCAUAGUUUUUGGCAAAGGCUUAUACUACACAAUUCUUUUGAACUUCGCAGAAAAAUUUCUUCGGAACAACGGUUUUUCUCUGUGUUCUCGCCUGCGGAAAGAGAAAAUCGUUGGCAUUUAUAUGCAUUACAAGAAACAAAUAGACAUUUAUUUAUAUAAAAAAAAAUCUAAUUUGUCGAUGUAAAAAAAAAAAUUCACCUCUACAAAGUAGAACAAGAAAUAGAAGAACGACGAGACGAAGCGAGCUUUUCAUGAUUCUGAAGCUUUUCUCCUUGAUUCUCGAAGAGGGUAUAGGUUUGUGUAGAAUAUGUGGAGAUGAUUGAAUUUAUAAGUAAAAAGAACAAUUCAUAUAACAUUAAUUCAAAAAUAUUUGUUAAAUCAAUAAGUAAUUGUAAGUUUCAUACAAUUAUAGAUUUUCCAUAUACUAUUAAAUUUAUAAGGAAAGAUGUAAUUAUGUUACUUAUAUAUCUGAUUUCCUCUUUAAUUUUCAUUACUGGCUGAAAUUAAUGGAGUUAAAUUAGAAGAAAGAAAAAAAUCAAUAAGACUUUGUAAUUAGAUAACGAGAAAUCUGAUGUGAUUCCACAAUUUAUAAGCCUAAUUAUAUAAAAUGAAAAAGACCUCACAUAAUUAAUUGAGAAAGUCGUCUUUCAAUAGGGUUUCUUUUCGAAAUUGAGUCGUCAUUAGGGUUAUUUCUAUGCUACAUCCGGUGAAGGUUACGCUGGCAGGAUUUUUACCGUUGAUCUACACACAUCAAUGUGAAUGUGUGUGUUUGUGUGUGUUCGUUAGAGCGUUAAGUUAUAGAGUAAACUGCAAAAACUACCUCUGUGUGAUAUGCAUAAUUGGGCCAACCCAAUGAUCAGCACGUCUGACUUGAGCGUCGGAGGGGUUUCCGCCGGAUCAACCCCGGCUUAGUUCAUGUGUUCUAUGAUCGCAGGUACCUCAGGAUCAUCAAGUUGUCAAGCUACUGAUCUGCUUUGCUCUCCCAGUUCAUUUUCUACACCACCCAAGGUGAGCUAUAUUUUAGCAUCAUCUAAUCUCGAAAUAGCAAAAACCCCCCUGUGAUAAAUAAACUAGCAAAAACCUCCCCUGUGAAAUUAUUUAAAUAGCAAAAACCCCCCUAUGGAACUAUUUGAGGGUUGACUUGAUAUAAAAAGACACAAAUACCCCUGGAGUCUUGCAAUUAAUAAAUUUUUAUAUUUUAUAAAUAUUUUAAUUAUUUUAUUUAAAAAAUAAUCAAUUUAUUUGUUUACUAUUUUUUUUAAUUUCUAAACAAAUAAAUUAAAAAGAAUAAAUAUACAUAUAAUAUGUAUAUAUAUAUAUAUAAAUACAUUUUGAGCGACAAUUUUGUCAUUUCAAGUCUCAAAAAUCAGUUAGGGGGGAUUCUGCCUUUGACUAAAUUUCACAAGGGGGUUUUUGCUAGUUUAUUUAUCACAGGGGGGUUUUUGCUAUUUCGAGAUAACACAGAGGUAGUAUUUGCAGUUUACUCUUAAGUUAUAUAUAGAGAGCUUAGUUGCACGGUUAGUUUAGUUAUAGAGCUUAAUAAAAGAUUAAUUUAACAAAAUUAGAUUUAGACUGAAUUAAGGAGGUUACAUUUAUGUCUUUGAAGUACAUUGUCAAAAUUCUAGCUAGCUACGAUUUCAAAAAAAAGCAUACGUUUCAUCUGUGAAAAUUACGUGAAAAUAAAAAACGAGCUAGCUAAGUAAUGACAAAAUACGUGCGCACGCAAGCAAGCUGAUCGAUUAUGUACAUAUUCCCCACACACGAAACGGAACUAGUGAUCGUAUUUAGCAACGACGCCUUCAAAAAUACCGUCGGAUCUGAAGGUGGGAGAAAACAACCUAGGAUCAACGGGGCCCGGCAAGCUGAACAAGAGUGUGAAUGGUCCAGGUGGACAUUGCUGCUGCAUUUUCAUUACAAAUACUCGAGAGUAUUUCGACACCGUAUUGCCACCUGUCGUUGUCACACCUUGGAUAUACACCUUCCCCUCCCUUCGUAUUUCACAGCUGAAUUCACCUGAUUAAAAACGAAAAAAAAAAAAUUUAAUUUGUGAAUAUAAUUUGGAGCAAUAUUUCGGAUGCACUAAAUUAUAAGUCGCAUACAUAAUGCACAUUCGAAAGCUUUGAGCAUCCGAAAGUAGGGUUAAUUGCAUCCAGCACCCCUGUGUAUACUCUAAUUGCUAAAUAACUCCCCGUGCUAUAAAUACUAGCAAAAUCCCCCCAAAACGAUUCAAUUUUAUUAGCAAACUAACCCCUAAAAAAGCAUCAUUUAGGGGGUUGUGUGCUAAAACAAAUGCAUCCUAGGGCAGUUUUGCUAAUAUCUAUAACACGAGGAGUCUUUUAGCAAGUCGAUUCAACAGAUGGGUGCUGAAUGCAAUAAACUCUCCGUAACUAUCUCAAGUUUCUUCAUUUCGACAGUUCUAAAAAAAAUAUAUAAAUAUAUCUCGUCUCAUUUAAGUAACACAUACACGAUAAAUAAGGAAGCGAAUAAAUUUUAAAAACAUAGGGUAUUUAAAUUACCGGGAUCUUUCUUGACUCCAGGUAGAGCAAUGCAAAAAUAAUACGCGUUUUUGCUAACGCCAAUAUCGACAACUCCUACGGGGGGCCCGGUUACUCCUCUACACGCAGUCCCACCGAAGCAAAUAGAUUUCUUCAAACACCACUCGUCCAUUUUCGGCAUGGGUAGCAUGGGCAUCACGUACGACUGCGCGAGGUUGCAUGCUAUCGGAGGUGUGGACACCUGUAGAGAAUCAUCGCAACGAGCCCUUUUCUCACCUGCCGCCGCCUCGUGAUUCGCAUUUUCGACUUGCGUUUUGCUUCUUUUCCAUGUGAUUUUCUUUACCUUUGCUGGAUCUAAGCUAUCCAUCGUCCCUGAUUAAUGCUCGAUUUUUUGCCAACUGCGAUGUAAUAAAUUAAGUCGACUUAGAGAUAACAUCGGAAAUUAAUUAAGAUGGGGCAAUUUUCUUUACGACUUCGUAUAGAAUUUUCGAACUCGGUCACCGUAAUAUCGGAAUCGUAACUACAAAACUGCUUAAUUAGUUAUUCAUGAUUGCAAUCAUGGAUGAGUAAAAUGCAUUUGCUAGACAUCUAGAACUGCUACAAAAUAAAGCGACGAGUCGGAAUCUUUUAAACUCGAGCUAAUCAACUCAUUCGCUCGGCUGCGAUUAUCAUUUAAUCUUUACCGUAAAGAAGUAAUUUUUAUAUUUUAUUUUUUAUUUUCUUAAAAUCCCAAAUUCAACCAACUUGAACUGGCUACACUCUGAGCCACAUUAUAGCUACAACAAAUUUAACUAUCUAAACAUUGAAAACCGAAACCGAAACCAAAAACCCGAAAACCCAAAAACCGAAAUAAAUAGUUCCAAAUUAAAAUUCUAACACACAUGGGCGUUCAAGAAACGGCACCACCUCAACCAGAACAAAAAAUAAAAUCAGCUUCGAUCAGAAAUUAAUAACAACCAAACGGGCUAACCAAUAUUAAUCCACACAAAAGCUAAUUAAAAAUAAAAUUAAAAAGAAGGGGGGUUUUAAAAAUUGAAGUAAAGAAAUAAAAUUUAACAAAAAAAAAAUACUGAUUUGGGUGAAGAUAAUUAGGUUGAAGAGAGAGAGUUCUUACCGAAUUAGCGUAUUGGUUGAUUCUUCGGGAGAGAGAGGUAAACAAGAAGACCUGUGUUUUAAGGCAUGUAAUAGAAACGACACUUGUAUUGUAUUGCUCUUCUUUCUAUUUUCUUUUUUUUCUUUUCUUUUUUUUUUCUUUUUCCAAUUACUAUUAAAUAAAUAUAAUUUGGGGCUCACUUACAAAGUUUUAUCUAUUUCUUUUCUUUUGCUAUAAAUGAUAAUUUCAACUAGGGGUGGAAAUCGAACGGGUGGUAUAGGAAUUAGUGUUUCCGAAAAAAGAGAUUCCAUUUUUUUUUCAGAAGUGAAAAGCAGUUCCAAUUUUGUUCCCUAAAAAUUAAAAUCGAAAUUUCGGAAAUUGAAAUUUAAAAGCUUGUUCCAAAAUCGGAAAUUUUCAAAUCAUAAUCGACCAAAUUCGAAAAAUUCCUAUUUUUAGUAACCUAAAGUGCAAAAUACACAAUAAUUUUGAUAUUAUUAGUAUAUUUUCAAAAAAAAAAAUCAAAAUUUUGAAAUUAAUUUCAUAAAUUGAAAUUGGAUCGAAAUUAGAAAAAACCGGAAAAUCAAAAUUGGAAUUUUCAAAAUUUUAAAACUUCACUACCAAUUUUCAUGCAAAAGUUCAUUGCCAACAUUUACAAGUUUAGCGUCAUAUUUUGUUGAAAUGCACGCACGGAUACAUAUACGUAUACGAUUAGAAAUUACGAUGCGAAUUUAUAAUAAAUAAAGAUGAAGCAAAAAUAAAUAGGUUAAAGAGAAGAAAUAAAUCAAAAAGAACUAACCACCAACUUUAUACAAACAAACAAACCGCAACAGCCGCAGUAGAAACGAAAAAAAAAAAAAGAUCGGUUAACGAAGAACCUAACUCGACUACGGUGGCACGAAAAUGCAGCCAUUGGGUCUUUCCCUUUUUCCUCCGAAAAAAAAUUAUAAUUUAAUAAUAAUAAUAAUAUUACAUAGCAACUAGUACCUUUUUUUUCUUUUUAUAGGAAGAAACUAUUUAUUUAUUUCCAAGGCAUGGAUGACAUGGCUUGUGGGGUUAUUUCGUUAAAAGGAUGACCACCCGUCAUAUUUAACGGGCUUAACGGGCCCCCAUCGGAUGACUCACUCUGCGUUCCUCGUGAAAAAGAGCUGCUGCCGCCACCCCCAUCACCACCGCCACUGCCACCAGUGUUCACUCUCGCCGGAACUGAUGAUGCCCCCUUCUUCCUCCCCCCUUCUUUGUGCCCGUCUGGCAGAAAGCUUCCUACUAUUACCUGCAAUUAUUACAUCGGAAAAAUGAAAAUUCUAACACGGAUUUAUCAAUAAAUAGUAUUGCACGCGUUUUAAUGAUAUUUUAUCGGACAAGCUAACCUGGGUUGGGGUAGCUGCGAUAAGUAAACCAGCGACAGAACCACCUAAGACACUGCCAUCUGGACCAGCUAACGAGACACUUAAGCCACCUGUCCUUCUUUUCUGGCCGCCAACUUGAGAUAGCAUGAACGAGCCAGAAAGCGAUAAUAUAUCAAACCGGCCCUACAUAUCACAAUGUAUAUAAUUGUAAUCAAGUUAAUUUCAAGAGCAACUCGAUUCAUUCAUUAUUCCAUAUUAUAAGAUUCCUUAUAAUCCAUCGCAUUGCAAAUGAAACGUGGCCUAAAUUCAUAAACGUGCAAAUAAAAUUUAAGAACUUGCCGAUAAUAGAGUCCAAUUUCAUGAACAAACAUCUGAUAUCAAGAGAUACGUGGUAAUCCACAUCACAUAUUCAGACAAUCGGAUUAUACAUAAAUUUAUUACGGGUGCAAGACAAUAGAUUAGCUACCAAACCAACUCCAAGAAAGUUGAAAUCUUUUAUAGCCCAUUAUUAUAUCUUUGGUUAUCAGAUAGAUUUUAAAUUUGGAAAAUCCAAAACAAAUAGAGAUUAGAUUUAUCCUUAAAUGAAGCAAAGAAAGCGAAAAAGGAAUAUAUAUAUAUAUAUAUAAAAUACACCCACAUACCUCAUAAGUAACGGUUCCGCCAGAUGUUGCAGCCUGGCUGAGUGUCACAGUCGAUAUGGUACCGUUGGCAGAUAGGAUACACACAGCCCUUGGUCCGUUCUGAAAAACAGCCAUUAUUUUCGAAGAGACAUCCUGCAAAAUUAAUUUAGCUAAAAUUACAAAUCACUGAAUUUAUCAUAUUCCACUCCUUUUUCAUGUAGUAGUCGAGAAGGACCAAAAAAUUGAUAGAACCCCACUUUCCGGUUUUCGGAGAAAGUGGAGAAACAGUGUAGCACAAGCUCCAAUCUCAAUGUUAUAUUCAUAUAAAAUGUUGUACGAUUCAAUGUGAUACAUCAGCGUUGAAAUAAAUGAUAACAGAUACCUACCUACUAAAGGUGCAAUAUUCGUGAAAUCUCUCAAACGAAAAAGGGUACAUUAUAUUUGUCAAUUAGCUAAUAAAGACUCUGAUAACCUAAAAUUCAAGGGGAAAAAAACGAGGGCCUGCAGAUAAUGAAUUAAUAGACCAGAAACACAGAUAAUAAAGAUUAUAAGGAAAAAAUUAUAGCAAUCAAUUUACCAAAUAGGAUAGAACCAAUUAAUAUGGUCGAAGGUAUUUAGGCUUAGUUAGAUGUACCACGUGACAGCCGUGAUAAACAACGUCAUAAAACAGGAAAGACGAUAAGAUUUGUUAUUAACAUGUAGAUGAUAUGACAUUUUAUUCACACGGACAGCAAAAAUCAUUGAAUAUUUUAUCCUGUCGAUUAUAUUUAGUAUAAGCAGAAUCAUGUAAGCAAUGCUGUCUCUCGUAGCUCACUUGCUCAAGUGAAGUCCGAGCAAGAGACCACGGUCAACAUGCCAGGUCAACAACAUACCAUACAGUUGGUUUAAGAGCUGGUUAAGGGUCGUAAAUGUUGAAAUUCAUGAGCCAGCAAAUUUGACAUAAACAGAAUUUUUUUUAACCAGAUAUUUCGGCGGUCACAAAAGCCAUCAUAAUUUUAAUUUCAUUUCAACCCCUUUUAUGUACUUUUUGUUCCCUUCAAUUUGUGAAAUUUAAGUUUCUUUCAUUAACAAUAUCUUUAUCAAAAUAAAUUAAAUUUAAAACAUAUUUGCAAAUUAAAGUUCAAGACUUUUUAAGUUCUUAAAUCCAUUAUUGUCAAAAUUUCAGCAUUUGUAAUCUUAUUUAAAAUUAAUUUUAAUCAAUUUAAGUUAUAAAAAUAAAUUCCAGAUCGAUCGUAUUACCGGAACAGAUUGUUAACAGGACAAACUAAUCAGCAGUGACCACCAUUUCGAAGAACUGGCCCCUUAACCACCUAAAUCAGUUAGAGUUAAAGAACAACAUUUUAUAAACUAAGUCGUAAAGAUUCGUUCCUAGUUCCGAUUUAUCUUUCAUGUUUAAGUAACAUAAAGGGAUAACAGAUAUUCCUAAUCGUAACCAAAAUAACGAACCAAGUUCCAUCGACAGUUGACUUAACAUAAAAGAACAAGAUUUAAAAAUAUUGACCUCUCCUGCAUUCACAUUGAGAACGUACGGUAUGAAUCCGAUACCAGUUGAACCUGCAAUCAAACCAUUUUUAAUCAUAGCAAUAAUUAGAAUAUUGAUAAAUUAAAAAAAAAAUAGUGUUUACUUAAUAGCAAUGAUGCAAUUAGAAAACAAAUAAAUAAGGAGUUGUCCAAAUUUAGACACAAAGGUUCCACCAUACAUACAUAUAUAGUAUCCCUCUGCCAAUGUACAGAUAAGACUUUAUAAAAUAGUAUUUCAUAUAAACCAUGAAAUCAACACCUAUUUUUAGUUCAUUUCCAAUAUUAAUAAAAUAAAAAUAAAUAAAUAUAUAAAUAAAUCAAACCAGAAUCAGACAGACCAGUUAAUAUGAAUAAUAUAAAAUAAAAAAGCAAUCUUUUUUUAAUUGACAAAAGAUCGCUUACUGUACCUAAAGCUUCCUUUUGCUGCUUUUUAUUUCUCGAGCCACGAGGUCUGCCUCUGACCUUCUUACCACUCGGUGAGCCAGAUCCAUCCGCCGCCGCCGCCGCCUGAGAGGGUAGAUGAGGCGGCGCCGCCGUCUGAGAGAAACCCUGUGGCUGCUGCUGUUGAGGCGAAGAAGCCAUGGAGAAGGCGAUGUUGCCAUCUGGUGCGUACUUCCUCGGCCGCCCUCUCCUCCGCUUCUGCUCACUCGAGUUUCCAACGUGGUUCACCACCAUGCCGCCGGAGGGGAUGGAUUGGUACGGCGGCGGCGAAGAGCCCAUUUGCAUGAACCCGCAGGCGCCGUCGCCGGCGUAGGGCAUGCGCAUUUGAUGUUCCAUCUGAGUUUGUGAAGCCGCGGCGGUUACGUUGAACGGCUCACGGUUUGCCAUCGCCGCCGCCGCCGCCGUCGUUUCAGAUGCACCAGACAUUUUGCAAUACCGAAAUUACCCUCGAGGGUUUUCGGAAAUUACCUGGGCACCAUGAGAAAACAAAAAGGAAAAUAAAUUAUUCGCAGAUCUUCACCAGUAUCUAAAGAAGUAGCUUCUCAAUUUCAUUUCUGAAAAAACAAAACCCCAGAAUUUCAAAUUUCGAAAAAAAAUAAAAAUUGAUUUUAUUUAUUUAUUUAAUUAAUUAAAAGUUCAAUUCAGUAACGGGAAAAUUGAAAAAUCUAUAAUUAGCAACACGAAAAUGAAUAAAUAAAAAAUAAUAAUUAUAAUACAGUGAAGUGGAGAGCAGUAAAAAAAACAACAGCAUUUCAUUCUCGCACUACAAAAUUCAGAGAAUUCUCUGUAUUUUUACCGAGGGAUCGAGCGUAAAACAUCAAAAUAAUUCUGGAAAAUUCACCAAUUUAAUUUUUAAUUACAAAAUUGAGGCGCUAAUUAAAAAAAUAGAAUAAAAAAAUUAAAGAGAGAGAAAAUCACGAAAAAUAGAGAAAAAUCACGAAAAAUAGAGAAAAAUCAGAAAUAACUCACCAAUAAAUUGGGAAAAUUAUCUGUACAGAAGAGCGAAUUGAGAAGGUAGAGAAGGUGGGGAAGAAAAAGGAAAAGUGGUAGGGAUUGUAAAUUAGAGAAAAAAAAAAGUAGGGUUUUUGCGGAGAAAUGUUUUUUUUUUUUUAAUGUAUAUAUGAGAAAAUAUAUAUGUAAUAUAUGUAUAUAUUAUUAUAUAUAUAGCCUUUAUUAUUUCUGUUUUGUUUUUUUAGGUUUCACGAAAAAGAAAAGAAAAAAUAAAUAAACGUGGAAGCCGUUUCCAGACGCGCGUUGUGACGACGCGUCGUUUUCUUAGUUGAUGUUUUUCACCUAUAACGUGAAUCUGUUGUUGAGAUUCUAGAGAGUGGAAGCAAUUUCCUACACGCGCGUGUGGGUGUUCAGAGUGGUAUUUAUCUGGUUGAAUCAUAAUACUUAUAAUAAAUAAAUAUUGGGCCAAAUUUGUGGAAUUUCAUUUUGUUUCAAAAUAUUAAAAAAAAUAAAAAAGAAAACGUUACUUUUGGAAAAACAAAAUCAAAUAAUCCAGCCCAAUGAAAUUAUAUUAUUUAGGUCAAUUACUCUCAUCCUUUAGGUAAGGUUAAAUUACGAAAAACUCCAUCGUGUAUGGGUAAUUACAAUAUUCAUCAAUUAUGAAUAUUCUUACACGUUCACCCUUCUGUUGUCAAAUUCAUUAUAAUCUUUUACAUUUCGUGAAAUGUUCUCUAUUUGUACUCGUUUUGUACAUAAAUGCAGUUUCUGAUGCACCACAAUCUGAUAUUUACGAGCAAGAAAACACAUAUUAUAAGAGAUUUUUGCAAGAAUCGCCCCGUGUAAUCUCUAAUUAUUGAGAAACCCCAUUGUGUUAAAAAUAUUACCAAAAAUACCCCUAUAAAAAUUAGUCAAAGCCAAUAAGGCCGCUACGAGCUGAUGUGUGUUGCACCCGCGCGCGACUUGGGGUAUGUUUUUUGACCUAAAAGACUAAAAAACCCUUUAAAACAUAAAUUUAUAAAAUUAUAAAUUCACCCCAUAAUUUUUGUAAGACCCAAAAUAAAAGUUUCAUAAUUUUCUUUUAUAUUUAAUAUAAAAAAAUGAUUAUUUAGUUUAUUUAACUUAAAAUAUUUUUUAAAAAAAUAGUAGGGGUAAUUUUGUCAUUUCAUUUAAAUAAAAAAAUCAAUUUUGAUGUGACAAAAUGUGUGCUUGUAAAACGUAACAUAGAGGGCUUAUUGCUAAUUUUUUUUAACGUAGGGAAUUUUUCUACAAUUAGAGAUACGCAGGGGGAGUAUGUGCUAAUAACUCCAAUUUUUUUAAUCAUCUUGUUUUAAAAUGUAGAGCUAGAAUGCGGUAAAACAGAUACGAACCGGAUAAUAUUCCACUAAAUUUGACAUCGUAAAGGUGAACGGGUAAGAAAGAUUCGUAAUUAAAGGAUAGUUGUAAUUACACAAACAUGAAAGAUUUUUUCAUAAUUUAACCUUACCUCUUCUGAUUAUUUCAUAAUUUGACAUUACCUCUCGACAUGGUCGUAAUCUAUAGUUUAUUAUUUGGUGAUUCGGUAAAAACUAAUUAUUUCGGCCCGUUAGAAGGUCCAAUAAAGGCCCAAUAAGGGGAAGCUCGCGAGAGCCCACUCCAGGGCGAGAGAAGAAGAAGUUCGCGGUCGCCGAAAUGAAAGGAUGGGAACAAGGAAUAUUAUCUGACAAAAGGAGCAGUAUCGCCGACUUGCAUUUAAUGCGUGUCUACUCAAAUGUCAGUAACCACAGAGAAUAUACAGACUGGAUUUGAUAAAUCAUGCUCUGGGUCUAGUUAGGAAGCCUAAUCGAAAACCGGCCGCGGGCGCGAGAGGGGAGACCCUUCUAGUAACAAGAGGACAAAGGCGAGAGUUGUAAGAUAUGUGUAAGAUAUGAUCUAUAACGUAUCCGAUAUAAUUAUCUUGCAUUUAAUAUCCCAUCCCAAAUGUCAAAAGCGUUCAGAGAAUAUGCAGUCUAGGGAAUAAGCAGCUCACAACACUGUUCACCGAGAAGACAGGUAAGUUUAAUUUAAUAUAUCUAAAAAAGUCUGAAACACCUCUGAAGUGACAACUAAAAUGGAUUUGGAAUCCGUAUUUGAAGUCCGCUCUUAGAAUUUUUCUAUAAAUAGCAAGAGAUCAACUCACUUAUGCACAGAUUCUUCUUCAUAAAAAAAGAACCAGAGAAAACAUUUAAUUAUCCUUUUUCCUAAAUCGAGGCCAUUCUGACUUGAUCGUCGGAGUGCUAACUCCGGCAUCAGCCCGGCUUUUCUUUUUGUGUUCUUAUUUGCAGGAUACAGAAAAUCCAUCAGCAUAUACGGAUCUAAAAGGGCCACCAAUAUAUUCGGACGAAUCAAUUUGGUAUAUUUUGCCAAUAAAUCAAUAAAUUUGGAGUUAAUCCAAUUCGAUUAUUUCCUAUUUAAUAAUUAAUGAGCUUUUAUUUUCUUUUCAUUUAUGGAUGCAAUACACCAAUGCUAAUGAUUUUAUGCCGUGACAAAUUCUGCAUCUUCCCUACUUUUUUUUUUAACUUAUAACAUAAUUUUAAUAUUUAAAACAAAUAUAGUAAAUUCUCUGAAAUCAUAUAACAUGAAGCUCGAGUUCAAAAACUACAACAGUUCAAAAUGAAGAAAACAAAGCUAAUAGCACAAAUUGUUGAUACAAUUUCAUGUUUUACUUAGUACCCUCAACUUCAUUAGACUUCCACAUAGCUUUUCAAAAUUUCCGAAGAAUCGCAUCUCCGAGUUUAUCACAAGAAAAACCUCCUUCGGCUGGUAUCCAUUUCAGGCUGUGACAUUCAAAAGACCGCGACGAAUAAAGUAUAAGCCACUUGAUCGAGAAAAAGUAAUAAUACUUUGAGCAAAUUAAUGAAUUUUAGUAGAGAUAAAAAAAAUAUAUAUAUUACCUUGUGUACCCAUUCAUAUUCACCUCCUUGUGUGUCGAAUGUUCCAUUCUGAAGACUUGUUAGCUUCAGGGUGAAGCGGGGUCCACAUUCCUGCAAUGUUGAUAUUCACAUAAUUGCCAUCGUUUAGUUUGUGCAACCGAGUUUCGACCAAGAUUUCAUAAUGAAUACGUAAGAAAAAGGCAAGAGAAGCAAUAACUAUGUCGAAGGUGGGGCCAGGGGAUUAGUAUUACAAACCUGAAGCCGGGCAACAACUUUCCCCGGACGAGCAGCCUUGUUUUCUUUUUUGUCUUUACCUUCCGGCGUUUUGCUUUCUUUUGUUUCGAAAAUGUAACUUUUACAUGCAAUAAUAAUAAGGAAAAAAAUUAAGAUAUUUAGAUCAUAAGUUACGAAACUACAGAGCAAGAUAUACACACCGGUGAUGGCGGAAAAAUACAAAAUCGCGUUGAUUGUGGAAGGUAACAACUCUCCGGCCAUUGAAAUGAGGGUCUUGCGGAAAAAGAGACUGGAUUAGCCUAAUUUAGACACACAAAAAAAAAAAAGAAAAAAAAAAACAAUGUCAACUUUUAUUCGAAACAUUGGAAUAUAGAGAAACGAAACAGCAACAAGAGACGCAUGAACCAAUGUUAUAGAUACAAAACUGAAACGUGUACCAUAUUGCAAGAGGAUUGAAAAUCAUACUAGAAUUAGAACUUCAAAUCAGGCCAGCUUACCGAACCUUAGUAAUUUUUUUAUUUAUCGAAGAUUCAUCAUCCCACAGCCAAGAAAGAAAAUAAUAUCGCAGAAAACGUUUGAAAAAAGCUACAAGAAAAGGAAACUAAUGUACUGAAUAAGUCAUGCAGGGUGUGUGAUUUAGCCUUGUAUUUUCAUCUUUCAUAACUUCAUUAAUUAAUUUACAGUAAAAAUUACCUGCCUACACGAUGCCCCAAACGUGUGGUGAAAUUAUUCAAAACUAACUCAGGCUGGUGACUGGUCGGAUUUCCAUGAUUCUGCAAGUGGAGAUGAAAAUGAGAAAAUACUGAUCUAACAAGGGCUGUAUUGAAAUCGAGAGAAUGAUGAGGGACUAAAUGUAAAAUAAAAAAAAAUCAUCCUACCUUAAUGUCUUUUCGCAAAACAAGCUUUGAAAGUUUGAAGUGAGCAGUAGGACCAUUCGGUAUCCCAAUAAUCAACAGAGCAUCUGCAUCGACUUGCAAAGAUUAACAAAAAUCGAAUAUCCAGGAUGAUACAGAAUCUGCAAGUUGAUUCAUCCUAAUAUGCCCUCAAAACCCUACCCGAUUUCUAUCGACUACUGAUCAAGAUUUAAUUAAAAAGAAUACUGAUCAAGAUUUAAUUAAAAAGAAUAAAAAAUAAGCACUUAUUUUAAUUGAAUCAACCGUCACCACUCUAACAUCUUAAACUUCAAGCAUAGCAGAACAAUUAUUAAUAUGCGAGUCGAGAUCAGAGCAGGGGUUGACCUGGUUCCCGGCGGUUGGUGUGGACAACUAUGACUGAUGUGAAAUCCUUCUUUUUUGCAUAUUCAACAAUCUGCAUUAACAUCAAAAAUUACAAAGAAUCACACACUAUCCCACACAAACUGAAAACACAAACUCGAAACUAAUUAAUUGGUGACGGGGCAGAAAAUAAAAGGGAGAGAAAUUCAGAAACCUUUUUGAGGUCAUAUGUUCCUCUCUUGUAGUAAUGAGCAUUGGGAAUGAUAGAGCGCAAAUCUUCAAUAAAAUCGGGUCCUCUCUGAAGUACACCAUACAAAACCAUCAUUAGCAAAGGAAAAAAAACGAGAUCAAGUUAAAAAAAAAUCGAAACUUGCGAGUAAAACCAUACGGAUGAAUGGAAUCGGGAGGUGGUAAUCAAUAUCUUAGGUAUGCAUUCUUGUUUCAAGAUGGAGCUGAAUUCAUCUGCAUCGUUUCCAGCAAAUAGCUCCUCGUCGUCGGGUUUGCAUACAGUUUCGUCCAAUUCACGAGUGUUCUCGAUUGUCCGAGGGGUUUUCUUGGGCGGUGGGUCCUCUCCCAGCUCCAAGGCUUUCUUUUCCGCAGCUUCGCGAACUUUUUGGUUCCUCUUCUUCUCUACCUUCUUUUGCUGCUUCAACUUCGCAUGGACUGCUGAUCUUUUCUCUUUGUUUUUAAUUGACGAUGGAAGCAAAGUCUCCUUCAUCUUCGCUGUUUUUUUUAAUGUUACUUACACCGCCUAAAGGAUACAAAUUUCAAUUAAUACUGACAGAAAUUAAGCAGAAGGUAUUCGUGUGUAGAGCUUUAACACACUCGAAAAUACGAAUAAAUGCCAAACAGAUUGUUUGCUCGUAUAAUUUGUAUUCGAUUUAUUCAAGAGAACUGAAAUAUUCUAUGUGAUAUUGCCCCCUGAUAUCCAACAAAUCCAGCACAGACUAGUCAUCACACACACACACACACACACACACACACACAAAAUCGAUUAAUCUUUUAACAGAAGUAAGACAGAAGGUAUUUAUGUGCAGGAUUUAAAACACAAUUGAAUUGACAAUAUGAAUUCAUAGCUAAACAGAACUGUUUGCAUAAACUAUGGGCGGAAAAAAAGGGGGUGAAAUUUGAUUUUACAACGAAAUUGAAAACUAACUUCGACUCUGAGAAUGAAUUAGCAAUGAAAACUCCAGUAUAUGAAAAUUAUAACAGAUUGGAGGAAAUAUAUUAGACCUAGAUACCACACAAUAAAUCCACCAUACCACACAAAUCAGAACGAAUUUUGAAAUAAUGAAAAGGUGAUUAACGAGAAGGACGUACCGAAUACAAAUUUAUCUACGCACGAAGCAGGCCGGCGGCGGGAAGAGAAAUUGAGGAGCGGACCGGCGGCGGCGGCGGCGAGAGUAGGCACGGGAAGUGUUUAUAGCCGUUCUCGUGGGUUGGGAGAGUUGUGUAGGUUUUAUCACUUGCUUAGGUUUCAAUUUCGAUUUUUUAUUAAUUGGAAAAAAAUGACAUAAAUUCUUCUAAUUCCAAAUUUAUUACUAGCAUUUUCCUCUCGUAGGAUGCACGAAAUAUUAUUUAAAUAGUGAAAUUAUAAGAAAAUAUAGUACACUAAUAUAGUAAAAUUUAAUAAUGUAAUAUAAUUCAUAUUGAAUUUCUAGUUUUAUCUCUUAAAAUUUGAGAUAUAUUGAUGAAAAUUAGAAGAUCAAUAAUUGUUGAAAAUUAUACUUAAAAAAUUAAUAUAAAAAAAAUAUUAAAAAUAAAUAAUUACAUCAAUAAGGUAAAAAUUUUCAAGGGUUAGUUUUAAUUUUGAUAAUUAUUAAAAAUUAUAGUUAGAAAUUAGUAGAGAAAAAAUAUUAAAAAUAAAUAAUUACAGAAAUACCAUGAGGGUAGUUAAAAAAUUGUAGAGAAAAAAUAUUAAAAAUAAAUAAUUACAGAAAUACCAUUAUGAUUUUUUAGAAUUGUCCAGCGUCUCUUUCUUUUAUAUAUAAGAUUAAUUAAAAAUGACAUAAAUAAUGAAUAAAAAUGUCAUAAAUUCUUCAUUAUUUAUGUCAAAAAUAAUAAAAUAUAUGUUAUAAAUAUAAUAUUAGAAAGAGAAAUAAUUAACCUUUGUUUUGGAAAACCUUAUUGGUAGUAAAUAUUUUUAUUCUCUUUUUAAUAAAAAUAAAAUUCAUAAUCUAUUUGUAAAAGUUCUUAAAGUUGAAAGUUUUGUCAAAAUUUAAAAUAAACUCCAUUGUUAAAAAUUUAAGAAAAAUAAAUAUAUUUAUUUAUAAUUAAAAAAAGAAAGCAUAAACCCCUCCCCCACCCAAACCCCUUACCCCAUUACCACAGAAUUUCCUACUCUCGGCGGCCGGAAGUAAAGCAGAAUAAAUGAACCACCGAGUAGCCGCCUAGGUUUCCGACCAUCAUCUAUCUCUGCUCAGUCUCCCUCUCUCUCUCUUGUGCAUAAUGGAUUUGCAAAUCAAGCAUGCGAUGGUAGUUAAGGUUAUCGGCAUGACGUGGUCACACGGCCAAGUCUUUCAGGUCAGAUUCCAAUUUGCUGCUGAUUAUCAAACCCUAGAUUGUGGUUCAUUUUUUCCUUACUCCAUUGUAGAAUGAAAUUCUGAAAUGAUAAAUGCAGAAUAAAACAAUUAAGGUCUUUUCGUUUGAUUUUGAUUGGGAAUUUCUAUCCAAUUUGUUCAAGUUUAAUUCAGAUUGGAAGUGCAUAAUUUGGACUCCGAUACUGUAUUUAGGAAUUUCAAUUGUUUAAUUUGUACUUUAUUUAAGCUUAUUUUUGAAAAUUUCUGUUCUUUUUUAUUAGUUUUGAUUUUGUGUUUGUUGUCUGUUUAGUUGCAGAAUCGAUCGUUGAGAAAUUAUCGUCGGGUCUGUUUAAGGUGUUCGUCUUUGAAUGCUGAGAAAUCCGUUAAUUUUAAUUUUCCUCCGAGUGUUAGGCUAUCUUGUGCUCUCAGAAACAAGCCAGAAAAGAAGAUUCAUCCACUAAGAAGUUUCGCUAAUACGCAUCCCUCUUUUUCUGCGUUUAAAGUACCCGUAAAUGCUUCUCAUUACGGGAUGUUAAGUGGAAUGUGCUCGAAUUAUUACAGUAGUAGUAGCAGAGCAUUUUCGCAGAUGCCAAAUGCAAGUGCCCAAAAUAAUAUUGUUACGAAAGAAAGUGGGGGCAGUGAGAAGAACAGUUUAUUCAAAAUAUUUAAUAAGCAGAGGAAGUGGCCAAAGGGUCUUGCUGCCCACAAAGGAAAUGCAGCUCCGACUGAGGAAUUGCCAAGCAGCAGCUCCGAUGGUAAAGCAGCAGCUUUUGAUGAUGUCAUUUUGUCCCCUUUAAACGGUCAAAUUGUUAAGGAUAGUGAGAAAUCUUUAGUCGGCAAAAAUAUACAAACACCAAAAGGCAAAGAGAAAGCGAAGCCUCAAUCUAGGAGCAAGAAAAAGCAAACUCAAAGUGCUGUUGCUGAUGACACAUCGGACAUGCCAAUUAACCCCGUAAAGAUUUCUCAAGCAAAGGAGACUAAGAAUAACAAAAGCAAGAAAACUCCUAUUUCGUUAGAGGUUAGAAGCAUGCAUACCUUUUAGUCUAAUUGGAUUUUUAGUUACUGUGUUGUUAUUUUAACUAACUAUUGGUUGCAGGUUAAUUCGACUUCAAGUACAACAGAAGUGGUUGAUAGUAAUAUUCCAAUCAAGAUUGUCAAGAAGAAAGCAACUAAAAAGGGGAAAGCAAAUACAAAAUCACGUUCUCCUCUGAAAUCUAACGAGGAACUUAUUGUACAAUCAGAUGUCAAAGUACCGAGCCAAGAGUCACACGUGGUCGUUAAAACUAAGUCUCAAGGCCCAAAGGUUUGGAAUCAAUUAUAUCCACCUAUUGCUAAAUCUGUGGUAGUGGUGGAAUCUGCUACAAAGGCUAAAGUGAUUCAAGGAUAUCUUGGUGAAAUGUACGAGGUUGUAGCAAGUUAUGGCCAUGUUAGAGAUUUGGCUGCAAGAUCAGGAUCUGUACGACCUGACGAUGAUUUCAGUAUGGUGUGGGAAGUCCCAUCCGCUGCGUGGUCUCAUCUUAAGAGUAUUAAGGUUGCACUUUGUGGGUAUGUAGCUCUCUGUCCGAAUAUCUCCAAUUUUGGAACAAUAUUUUUCAUUCCGAAUUCUGAAAGUUCCAAUUUCAGAUUCUUUUUUGGAAUAAAACUAGAAAACUACUAGAAAAUUUCUGAAGAUUACGCUUGUAACAUCAAUAUUAUUAUGUUAUUAUACUAUAGGUGACUAAAGAAAUGGAAAUUUCCAAAUUUUGCUGGUUCCAAUCUGAAAAUUUCCAACUUUCGAACAUUCUUUUUCAUUUCAAUUUCCAAAAGUCCGAUUUCCGAUAUUUCCGAAUAUUUUUUGGAACGGAGUUGGAAUUAGUUUUUCACUUCCAAAAAAAAUGGAAUUUUUUUGAAAGUGCAAAUUCCAAUAUGAGUUCUCCGAUUACGACGCCUACUUUGCUAUAGUAUUAUUAACUUCUUUCUCAUUCUACUUAUAUUUUUUUUAAAUCUUUUGCUUUACUGCUAUAUUGUAACUCACUUUUUUUGUUUCGAGUCUUGGGCCUGGUUUUGAAAGUAUUUUUAAGGCUCAAAUUAGAUUUCUGCACAUGCAGUUUCACUGAAUUAUCUCUCUGAAUAAUUUUGUUUGUCAGUUGGUUUGUUUAUUGUCUGAUCUCCUCUCUUGUUUCCAGAGCAGAAAAUCUUAUUCUUGCCUCAGACCCUGAUCGUGAAGGAGAGGCAAUUGCUUGGCACAUACUCGAAAUGUUGCAGCAACAGGAUGCUUUGCGCGAUGAUGUUACUGUUGCAAGAGUUGUUUUCAACGAAAUAACCGAAUCAUCCAUUAAAACUGCUCUGCAGUCCCCACGAGAGAUCGAUGCAGACUUGGUGCAUGCUUAUCUCGCACGGCGUGCACUUGAUUAUCUGAUUGGUUUCAAUGUUUCUCCUUUAUUAUGGAGGAAAUUACCUGGUUGCCAGUCCGCUGGGCGUGUCCAAUCAGCUGCUUUAGCUCUUAUAUGUGAUAGAGAAAAAGAAAUCGACGAAUUCAAAGCUCAGGAGUAUUGGUCAAUCGAUGUUCAAUUCCAGAAGAACGAUUCAAAUUCAGCCAAGAACACUUCUAUCGCCUCACAUUUAACCCAUUUCGAUUCCAAAAAGCUGAGUCAGUUGUCGAUUAGCUCUAGUACAGAGGCAAAAGAUAUUGAAGAAAAGAUUAACAUGUCCAAGUUUGAGGUCACCGGUUCUAAAACUAGCAAAAGUCGGAGAAAUCCACCAAUGCCGUACAUAACGUCAACUCUUCAGCAAGAUGCUGCAAACAAAUUGAAUUUUGCAGCGUCACAUACAAUGAAAGUUGCACAGAAGCUUUACGAGGGAGUCCAAUUAUCCGACGGCAAGUCUACUGGACUAAUAACUUACAUGAGAACUGACGGCUUGCACUUAUCAGACGAAGCAAGUAAGGAUAUCCAAUCCUUUAUCGUGGAGAAGUAUGGCCAGGAUUUUGCAGCAAAGAGUAAACGCAAAUAUUUUAAGAAGGUGAAAAAUGCUCAGGAGGCUCAUGAAGCCAUUAGACCCACCGAUAUCCGAAGACUUCCAUCAAUGCUUGCUGCGGUGCUCGAUGAAGAGUCCCUCAAGUUGUACACUCUCAUAUGGUGUCGUACGACUGCAUGUCAGAUGGAACCUGCUGUAAUUGAGCAUAUACAAUGUGAUAUUGGCAAUGCUAACCAGUCCAUUGUUUUCCGUUCAACAUGCUCGAGAGUGGAAUUUAAAGGCUUUCAAGCGGCUUAUGAAGACCAAGAAACAUUCAGAGACAGAAAUAUCGAGGAUGAAGAGAAUCACCGCAGUGAAACAUACGAGGUUUUGAGUUCUUUGAAAUGUGGGCAGCCAUUGUGCGUGACUGAAGUAGAACUCGAUCAACAUUCUACGCAGCAUCCACCUCGAUACUCCGAGGGAUCGUUAGUGAAGAAGCUGGAGGAACUUGGCAUAGGAAGACCUUCUACUUAUGCAACCACUAUUAAGGUGCUAAAAGACAGAAAUUACAUAACAGUUAAAAGCAGGACACUGUAUCCAGAAUUUCGUGGGCGGAUGGUUUCGGCUUUCCUCUCUCACUAUUUUUCUGAGGUGACGGAUUAUAGUUUCACUGCUGAUAUGGAGACCGAACUCGAUAAUGUUUCGGCUGGAUUAACUGAAUGGAAAGGCCUUUUAAAAGAUUAUUGGACUAGAUUUAGCAAGUACUGCGAGUGCGCUGGCAGUGUGCAUAUCCAUCAGGUGGAGAAGAUGUUGGAGAAAACAUUUGGCAAUUUCUUGUUCGCGUCGCUUCGCGAUGGAAAUAAAACUUGCCCAAGUUGUGGAGAAGGAACAUUGGUUUUCAAAGUUAGCAGGUUCGGUGCAGGGUACUUUAUUGGCUGUGAUCAACACCCAAAGUGCAAGUGAGUAUUUGACUUCAUUCGUAAUGCCUCUGUGGGUUUCGUUUUAUGUAUGGUUUGUGAAUUAUGUUAUUGACAUCUGUGCAGGUACAUUGCUAAAACACUCUACGGCGAAGAUGAUGAAGAAAUCACUCCUGAAAAUCAGAAGAACAACGUGCAGGAGCCGAAGCUGCUUGGUCUAAAUCCAGGAUCAAACGAGAAGGUUUUCAUCUGAUAAUACGAUUGUGUUUGUGGAUUGUAUUCUAAUAACUGUUAUGUUCAUCGAUCAUUCUGAUUUUUUUCUUGUUAAUGUUUGUUUUGUUUUUUUUUUUUCACCACCUUCUUAGGUUCUUCUGAAGUGUGGCCCAUACGGACACUAUGUGCAGCUUGGUGAAGAUAGGAAGGGGCACUUACCUAAGCGAGCCUCGGCGAAACAAGUAUGUAUUUGUUUUUAGUGGUUAUGGUUCAAUAACCCGUUUUUUCUCCGUGUGUGUGUGUAUAUAUUACAUAUAUAUAGGAAACAUAAGGCCACAUUGAUUGUCUGAUUCCCUGGUUGAAGUCACCUAGUCAAAAAAAAAAAAAAAAGUUCUGGAAACCUCUCGAUAAACUGGAACUUUUAUCAUUGAUACUUAUGUAUCUUACAUUCCAAUUUUAAAUUUCUCAAUGUUUCUUUUCUCACUACCCAUAUGCCAUAAUUCUUAGGCAGUACAAACUCUUCAAUUUAGUAAUGGAAUUAUGGUGCUUGCAAUAUGUUCGUUUCUCGCGUCACUUAUCCAAUAUUCAUGUUUUAUUACACUAGAUAAAGAAUGCAGACUCCAUCACAUUGGAAGAUGCCUUGGAAUUACUCAAGUAUCCAUUGACCUUGGUAUGUUUUGAUUUUCAGUGCAAUGUGCCUUUUUUUCCUAUAUUUAACUUCACAUCAUCAAACCGAUCUUAUAGAUACAUACGUUCUUUAUUUUAUUUUAUUUUAUUUUUUAAUUUACUUUUUUCUUUUUUUAUCUUUUAAUUAUCAGGGAAACCAUCCAGACGAUGACCAACCGGUAGUUUUAAAGCUUGCCAACGUCGGAUAUACCAUUAGACACAGACGCACAAUUGCUUCAGUACCCAAGGUUAAAAGUCCAUUCAUGUUUUAUCACUCGCAUUAUUUAUAUUUCGUUUUGGGUUUUAUAAAAAAAAAAAAUCUUUUACGACUCGAAAACCUGAUUAUUUGCAAUCCGAUUAAUGGUUACAGAAUAUGAAGCCAAAUGACGUAACCUUAGAGAAAGCUUUGGAGCUACUAAAGGGUGACGAUGUAAGGAGGUGUGGACGCCCCAAACGCAAAGCUGUGGUUAAAGAGGCUGUCUGAGCACAGGUUGAUUUUCAUUACACAAAUUAGUUUGUCUGUAGGUAGAGAUAUAUGUUCUUGUCAGGACAUAACAUAUACAGAGAAAAGUUUGUCUCAUUUUUGUUGGUAAUAAGUGUAAUUUUCAUUUAUUUGUUUUGGCAAAUGAUUGUGAUUUUUUUUUUCCUUUUCCAGAUGGCCUUAUAUAUAUAAUAGAAAUUCUAUAAUUUAUUUUACAUGUAGAACACUUCUAUGAUGGUAUUUUAUUCAUUUUUAAAAACAUAAAAACAAAUGUAACACGGAAAUCGGAUUACGAUGUAACACCUCGAACGUGCCUCAGUGGGGUACUGAUUAAAAAACGAAGCGAAAACAAAGAUUCGAGUGAUGAGAAUCGAGUGAUGUAUUCAAUUGUGCAAAAGCCCAGCCUGUUUGUAGUUCUCAACAGAGUCCACAAGAGUUUCUUUCAAUGGCCUAUACUUCCAGCCAAGCCUUUGCAGCUUCUCUGAACUCACUUCUGACAUAUUUCCCCCAUCUUUGAAGCUGCAAAAUCAACAAGAAACGAGAUUAUUUCGAAGAAAAGAGAAAAAAAGGAGAAAUUACUACUUUGAAGGAAAAAUUACUACCUCUUGGGAUAGUUAUAGUUCGGAUAGAUUUCCUUGAGAGUUUGAACUAAAUCCCGAUUCUUGAUCGCGUGGGCUGUGCAUAUGUAUCUACCUUCAGCUUCGGGUUUUUCAUAUACUAAUUUCAAGGCCUCGGCUACAUCGCGCACAUCUACUAUUUUCCGGAGGUUGUUUUCCGUUUCCUCAUAUCCUUCUGCGUGAUUAAUCAAUUAAGAAAGAGACGUUAUAUUAUAUCGUAAGUCAAUUCAGACUCUUUUGAAAAACAAUUCAGACAACCGAAUUUUCAAACGAAGUCCAUUUAUACGGUAGUUUCUGAUCGAUGAAUCUAAUCCUUAUACGGAACAAAAUAUACCUCUCAAUAUCUUAACGAGAGCCAAACUGCUAGCGUUUGUUGCAUGCUGCAGCAUAGGUCCCAAAACGAGCGUCGGACACAAAGUGACGACAUUAAGCCCCGUUUUAUUUGCAUAUUCCCAAGCUUCGGCUUCCGCCACUGUCUUCGAAACACAAUACCAUUGCUGUAUGCAUGUACGUGUAAGAAAAAAAUCGAGCUUGAUCUAAAAAAGCAAUAAAAAAUCUUGUAAAUGAAAUUGAAUUUUAAGGGGGCGAGCAAAAUUACGUUAUUGGCCUUGCAGUAUUCAAUGUCCGACCAACAAGUCUCGUCCAUUACUCGAUCCUUGGGCCAUUUUGGGUUCAUGUAAACUGCAGCAACUGAUGAAACGAUUACCGCUCGUUUCACUUUCGCCUCGGAGCAUGCUUUGAGUACGUUAAUAGUACCUUCUAGAGCAGGCUUAACCAAUUCCACCUGUACCAUUAUUCACAUGAUCAUUAAAAAAAAUAAAAAAGUAAAAUAAAUGAAUAAAUAGAAUACUAUGAUGCAACGAACAACAAAGACGAAUGACUAAUCCAAUAAAUCAACACCAAAAACCAAUCACACAUGCUUUACUUAUGUCCGAAAAGUUAUUUCGUAUUUGACUUAUUAAUUACGAUUUCACCAUUACGAAGUUACAAUCUGCUUCUGAUUUUUUUUAUCAAAAUCCCGAUUUUGACUACAAUGUUUGCUAAAAAAGCAACUUAAAACAAGCCUCAAAUUCAUGAACUUUCCUCCGAAAAUCACAAUUAAUUAACAAACUCUAAACUAUUAAUUAAUACAAUUUGAGAUUGAAGUCGAGAGUUGAUUAAACAUGCCUCUGGAUUUGGAACGGAGCCUGGAGGAACUGGACUCGCAACAUGGAACACUCCGUCACAUCCUUUAACAGCCGCAAAAACGGAGUUGAAAUCCAGUAAAUCUGCCUUUACGAUUUUCAGCCUUUCGGCUGAAUUUUCGAGUUUUUUCAAAUGAACAUUUUUUUCAUCUCCUGCAAAAAAAAAAAAAAAAAAAACAAGGAAACUUAUAGUUGGUAGCAAAAGUACAACAAUUAAACCUUCAAAUCAAACAAUAACCACACGUAUAGGUGGAAUUCAGACAGAUCGGAUCGGAAUUUACACUUCCGCAAAAAAUUCAAUUUUCCGGAAGCAAAAAACCAAUUCAAACUCCAUUCCGAAAAUUUCGAAAAAAAUCCCAAAUUUGAAUUUCGGAAAUAGAAAUGAAAAAAGUCAUUCCAAAAUCGGAAUCGGUGGAAAUCAGAAAUGUCAUUUUUCUGUAUUCACCUAUAACAUAAAAAUACAUAAUAACGUUGACACUAUUUAAGUGUAAUUUUUCGGAUCGAAUUUUUUGGAAUUAUAUUCGAAAUUAAAAUCAGAUCGGAAAUCGGAAGUCGGAACCCUAAUCCAAAAAAAAGAGAAAAUUUGGAAAAUAGUAUUGGGAAUGAAUAGUAUUGUUCCAAAAUCGAAAAAUUCCGUUCCAAUUUGCAGCCGUACUGACCUACUCAAUCCCCAAAUAUUAAACAAAAAUCAAAUAUGGCAGAAUAAUAAUCAAACAAUUACUAAAACUGAAUACUAAAAUUAACAAAAAAUAGAGAGAGAGAGAGAGAGAGAGAGAGAGAGAGAGAGAGAGAGAGAGAGAGAGAGAGAGAGAGAGAGAGAGAGAGAGAGAGAGACGAGGGUUUCUGACGGUGCCAUUGACGGUGUAGCCCUGAGAAAGGAGAAGCUUGAUCAGCCAUGAAGCCACGUACCCACCGGCGCCUGUUACACAUACUACGCUGCUAUUUUUUCCUGCCAUUUUUUUGUAAUUCCUUCAAUUAAAAAUAAAAAUAUUUGGAAAAAUAAUACAGCCGAUUAAUUCUGCCACCACCACCGCAUAUAUACGAUGCACCGCCUCCGAUCAUUUUAUUUUCCAGGUGGCUUCGUACGCUUGCGUCAUCCAUGACGUCACUCUCUCUCUCUAUCUGUGUGUGUGCGCGAUAUGCCUGGGUGGAAAUCAGACACGUGGAAAUUACAAUUUAGGGAAAUCAAAUCCAUUUUGACUUGAUGAAAAGAAUUCGAUUCGAUUACAUUCCGAUUUUGGUUCCAAUUAGUCCAAUUUUCGAUCACAAUCAAAACCAAAUCCAAAUUGACACUGUACUAAAAAAAACAUGUGCUCUUUUCUAGAAGUUAAUUUUUCUCCUCUCUUUUCUCUGUCUCUAAUUAGGCGAAAUUGCACUUUGUCUUGCCUUAAACUUGUUUAGACCAAGUUUAAAUACCUUUCUAUCAUAAUUCAAUCAAAAUUUAUCGAGUUACUCAAUUCUGUACUUCUUCUCAAAAAAAAAAAAAAAAAUCUGUAACUUCGAUAAAAUCGGAAUAGUUACCUUCGUUGGUAUACUAUCACAUUAGGAUCAAAUCGAAUGAAUCGGGUUGAAAUAUUUCUUAUCAAUUCCAGUCAAAAAAUGAAUAAUUUGUAAUAUAACAUAGAAGGCCCAUAAUCAUUUUUUCAAAUAAAUCUGUUUUUUCUUUUUAUGUUAUUUCGUACUCCAUAUGUUCCACACUAACUGUUUCUUUUUAAAAAUAUUUUUGUUCCAUAUUAACUAUCACUUUAGAUUUCCAAUACUGCAUUAAAUGCAUUUUUUCCUGUUUUAACCGUAUUAAUUCAAGGGUCUAUUAGAUAUAACCCCUUAGUCUUACAAAUAAUAAGGGUAGACCCAAACUCAAAUUUGUCAUUUUGAUAAAAACCCAUAUUUUUCUAAAUUACAUCAGUACCCUCAAUCAAAUCCCACAAAUCCCGUUACUUUACCUUUUGAAAUAAUAUCAAAUCCCUCCCUAUUUUCCCGUUAAAACACUAUCCCCACAAACUCACUACCAAAAUCUGCAAACGUCCCAAAGAAAACAAGAAAUUUAUACACCGGCGAUUGACGAUUUUCUGCACUCCUAAAUCCCUCCCUAUUUUCCCGCCGGGUUCGCCGCUUCCCUCCGACCGCCGCCACCUCCGUCACUGUUGUCGCCGGUGGCCAACGACGAUAACAACGAUAUUGGCCAUAAGCAACACCUCCACCACCGCCUAGUCCUCCACCACCACCACAUCCGACCACCUCUACCUCCAAGACCGCCAAAAACGACCAAGACAUCCGCCGCUCCCGCCUCCAAGGUCGUAAUAAUCAAUUUAGGAGUGAUAUCGUCGUUGGCCGCCGUCGCCGCCGCCGUCACUGCUCCAAACUAGGGUUACUCAAAUCUAGGAUUACUCAAAUCUAGGGUUUUGAUAAUUCUUCGGCCCAUAGUUGAUUAACGACAUGCAUAGUCAAAUUACAUCUGUAUUAAUAGACUAUCUCAUAUCAUUUAAUAGACUAUCCCACUGAUAUAAUUUGACUAUGGAUCUUGUUAAUCGACUAUGGGCCGAAGAAUCAUCAAAACCCUAGAUUUGAGAAGUGACGGCGGCGGAUUUGUGUUUUAAAAUUAAUAGACUAUCUCAUAUCAUUUAAUAGACUAUCCCAUAUAUCUAAUUCGACUAUGGGUUUAGUUAUUUGACUAUUGGGCCGAAGAAUCAACAAAAUCCUAGAUCUGAUAAGUGAUGGCGGCGGAUUUGUGUUUUAAUAUUGUUAGACUAUCCCAUAUCAUGUAAUAGACUAUCUCAUUGAUCUAAUUCGACUAUGGAUCUCGUUAAUCGACUAUGGAUUCCGUAUUAUUCAACCACAUAGUAUAUUAAUAAUUUCAUAUAGUACAUUAAUCUGCUAUGAUAGUAUAUUACGGUUAUAGUAGUGAUAUGAAAUUGUGUUACAAACAAUAUACCACUGAAAUGACAAGAACAUUGAGAACAAAACCAACGUAAAGUAAUUCCAACAUAACCAAUAAAAUAGUGCAUUAAUAAUCUCAUAAUUUCAAUCUAGGGUUUUGAUAAAAUACUUAAAACACAUCAUAACACAAUCAAACCAAUAUGUCGAGUUAAAAAACUCUAGUACAUUAAUAAUCUCAUAAUAGUAUAAUAAAAUGAUAAUGGUAGUGUCAUACGGUAUUCAUAAUAGUAUAUUACUGUAUUACACGGUUUAACACUUAACCGAAGUUACCGAGCCAUUACAUCGUAAACACGACAUUAAUUAAACAUAUCAAAUCUUAGGGUGGUUUGGAAAAUAACAACCAUCGGAAUCAUUUGAAUUCAUUGAGUUUAUGUCCUCGUCGCUAUCAUCCCCGAACAAUCUGGCGCCUAUUUCCUCCGCUGCGGAUCGUCACCUCCACCUAGACCUCGUUCUCUCCGAUUAGCUCCGCCGUGCUUCCGUUGAACUCGCGGACGGUGCCGGGUGAAUUAGAUGAGGAAAGUACUUGCUCCUCGCCGGAGUCCGACGGAGACACCGUCUGCUGUGGUGCAGCUGGAGUGAGGUGCUCUGACACCGCCGCAGACAGCGUCGCCGCCGCGGUCGGCGGCGGCGUAGCAAUUUUCCGGCGCUGGAUUUCGCACAACAACCUUUUCUCGUCUUUUCGAAAGCAUUCAUUGGAGAACUCCCACCGAUCAGGCAUAACCUUCUUAAAUCCCUAAAAAAUCAUCAGAUAAGCAACUCAAUCAAUAACCGGGAAAAAAAAAAAAAAAAAACCAAAAUUCCUCGUUACAGAUCGAAGGAUUCGAUUAGCAAAAGCUCACGUAAGUAUUCAGUUGCCGAACGAAACUGGAGAAAUUGUUGUGCUUGAAAUACUUGGGCAGCAAAUCUGGCAAACUCACGUAAUUUGGCCCAACGAAACCGCCAAUAUACUCGCGUAAUUUUAUUCCGUGAUUUUAGGCAACGUAUCAGCAAUCUCAUAUCAUGUAGUUAAGGAAAUAAAUGCCGUUCAAAAAUAAAGCAGGGGUAUUAAAGGGAAAUUAAAUAAUAUAUUGUGUCAAGUUGGCAUAUUGGGGUGUAUAUCAAAAAGGGAAAAUUUAAUUGGAUCUACCUCAUUAGAAAAUAUGAACAAGGGGGUUAUCUCUAAUAAACCCUUAAUUCAAUUAUAAGUAUUAACUCUCUCUUAUCACAUCAUUAAAUAAUCAAUGUUAUUUUAGUCUUUCUAAUAUAUUUUACUUAAAAUCAAAACACAUUUAUUGAGCUUCUUAAUCAUUGUGCAAAGCCAAAACGACACUUAAUCGGAAUGGAGGGAGUACCUUGUAAGCUAAAAAAAAAGCAUAAUUCAUAAAAAAAAAAAGAAAAAAAAUGAAAAAAAAUCAUUCAAUUUUUAAUAGGAAAUAAAUUUAAAAAUUACAAAUCAUGUUUUAUCUUUGAAGAGUUAAUGCACAAAACAAAAUUUAUUAGUAUUUUGGAAAGUAGUGACACAUGCACUGAUUAAUAUGAAACAUUAAAAAAAUAAAAUAUAUUAAACAUAAUUACAAAAAAUACUAUAUAUUAUAAGAAGUUCAGCGAGUGGAGUUACGUAUAUUGUACGCGUGUGUUUAUUUAUUUAUUUAAUAUGUAUAAUAUAAUUUAAUUUGGGUGUGUCUGAGGUGACGUGGAUUUUAGGGCAGGGAAUAAACACGUGCAUGCGAAGACGAGACCACCUGGUGAAAUGUUACAAUCAAGCUAACUUUAUGACACCAUCAAUUUGCAACACAUGUUAUUGUUAUUUGUUAAUAUUCGUUUUUUUUUUUUUUUUCCAAUUUUCUUUGGGUCAAAUGUUUAUUGUUUUUUUCUUUGUUGACACGUCAUCUUUAUUGUGAUUAAUGUGUCGGGAGAUGCCCUUUGCCAACGAGGAUGGGAUUAAAUAACGUCGGCGUGUGUAAUUAUCGGGUUAAUAACGCCCAGUGUAUUUCAUCGGGUGUGACAUUAAAUAAAACACGUUUUCUCUAUUAUUUCGAUUGAUAGUCACAUUUAGUUACACGCUAUUUACGUUUUUCAUGAAGAUUUGAGGUAGAAUAGAACAAAUUUUGUUAAUCAAAUUUGUUACUAACUUAUGCUAUUUAUUCAAUUGCAUUUUGUAUUGUUCAAUCAGAACAAAACUUAAAUAUGUUACUCCCCCAGUUUCAAAAUAAGUGUCAUUUAAGGUUAAUGCACACCAAUUAAAAAGUUAAUACACAUUCUUGAUUUCAGGGAAAAUAAUUCAUAUUUUACAAAAUUAGCCAUUUUGUGGCUCUAAAUCUUUAUUUAUAAGUUCAUUAAUCUCUCAUUAAUUGUAGGGUAAAAUUGUCUUAUCUUGAAAUUCUAAAGUGACACUUAAUAUGAAAAAUAAAAUUAUGGCUAAAGUGACACUUAAAAAGAAAUGGUGUGAGUAUUAUAUAAUGCAAAACAAGUUAAGUGACAAUAAUACAUGUAAAUAUUUAUAAAUUUUGAAUAAAAUUACAUUAACAAAAGUAAUAUGUCUAAAAUAUAUAAAAUUCAUCUCCUAAAACUUAAUUUUUUUUCUUGAGAUUUAGGUGGCGGGCUUAAUUAAAAAUGUUGUGUUGACCAAUAAAUUGAAUGAGCCAUAGGCCCAUAGUAUAGCAUGUAAAUUUUGGAGUGAAUGAGCUACCUAUGCUAAUCAAAGGGUGAUUACGUUUAAGACUUGCAAUUAUUUUAUUAAUCUUGCCAACAAAUCACUCUAAAUAAUCUAAUCUCUUAUUCUAUAUUAAUAAUUUCCAACUCUCUUCAAUAAUGAUCUCUAAUCUAAGUGGAUAUAAAAUACAACACAACAUAAAAGUAGUUCAAAUUGAGAUUAAAAAAAUAAAUUUAUAUUCGCCUAAAUAGGCUUGUUGACCCAUUUGAAUUUCUUUUAAUUUUACUAAUUAAUUAACUUCAAAAAAAAAAAAUUAACCUCAAAAUUAUUCUAAUUAGCAAGAAUGCUCUAUUGGUGGAAUAAGAGAAUAUGAUUUUUUUUUUAAGGAAGGGAGACUGCAACUUAUAACUACUUGGUUUACAUAUUUUCUAUGUAAUACGAAAGUUCUAACUUUUUAACGUUUGUGUGCUUCGGACAUGUUUCAUGUCCGACAUUCAAGGGCACCUGCUGGACCGGAUACCUUAUGAACUAUUUUGUAAUUUUUACAAACUUAGAAACAUGUUUGAAGAGCAAAAUUUUAAGUAUUUUUAUUGCCUCCCUAGUUAUUUACAUGAUUUAAUGAUCAAUUGCAAAUCGAUAGUUGAACAUAAUAUUUGUUUUGAAAAUAUUUGUAUCCAAAUACAUAAAAGGAUUUACAUAUAAAUAAAAAUUAUAUAUGACUAUAUAAUAUAUUUAUAAUUAUACGCCUAUACUUUUAAUGUUUACACGUUUCUCCCAAGUUCCCGUGUCCUCAUUUUUUAGAUAUGUUGUUUCCUGUUUCCCUAUAUAACCAUUUCAAUUUCCGUGCUACAUAACAACUCUUUUAUAGUUUGCAAACUAUCGUUCGAGAGCUAAAUUCAACCAAUAUAAUAAUGAUAAAAAUGAAAAAUCACAAAGAUUUUAACAAAUGAAGUAAGUAAAUUCCUAACAGUUAAGCAAAUUAACAAAAUCAUUUGUGAUAAUGUAAGUAAUAAUUUCUCAAUUGUAGUUAUAUUUGGAAGCAAUUUUCUCUUUAUUUCUCUAAUUAGGGAAGAGCACCACCACUAGGCAUAUUUGUUUCUAGAAGAAAAAGGAAUUAUAUAUAAUCAUAAGGGUAAAUUGCACCUACACCCCUGUAGUCUGCUAAAAUAACAUAAAUAUCCAUAUAGUAUCAGUAAUUACAAUCGCCCCCUGAAACAUUGUUAGAAACCCUAACAUAAUAAUGCAUUGAAUAAAUUAUUCCAUUAGAAUUAUAACAGUCUAUUAGUUUCAGCCUUUCAGGCAGUGGUGGAGCCAACAUAGAUUUAAUGGAUGAUAUGACUCUUCUAACAUUUCUUAAAUUCUUAUUAUUCUAUAGAAAAUUUAUAAAUUUUUGUCUAUGGUAGCAUUAACGACCCCGCGAGAAACAAAAUAGUGCACAUCGGUCCUCACAACUUGAAAUCUUGAAUACCAAUACCACAUGGACCUUAAAGUUAUUUUAUCAUACUUUAGGGGUGUAGAUGUAAUUUACGGUAAUUGCAAUAGAACGCAAUUGGAGGAGAAAUAUCAGCAAAAAAAGACAAAAACGAAAAAUGGCAGCACUUAUUUGAUGCUCCGCCACUCUCUCACUAUAAAGAAUUCAAACAAACCCCCGCAACCAUCGCUCCACCGCCCCUUCUCCAUUUUUAUUUUCCAUUUUUUUUUUUUCAGUUUUUACCCCUCUUUCUCUCUCCGCCGCCGCAGUUAUGGAAGUCCGCCGGAGGCCAGUCAAACCCUCACACACUAAAGGCUCCUCCGCCUCCGCCUCCGCCGCCGCCGUCGUCGAUCGCCGAUCGUCGUCUCCUAAAGCCUCCGACGCUCUCCCGCUGCCUCUGUACCUAACCAACGGCAUUUUCUUCACGCUCUUCUUCUCCGUGGCAUACUUCCUCCUCAACCGGUGGCGCGACAAGAUCCGUAACUCCACCCCGCUCCUCCACGUCCUCACUCUCUCCGAACUCGCCGGAAUCAUCUGCCUCGUCGCCUCCUUCAUCUACCUCAUAGGCUUCUUCGGCAUUGAUUUCGUCCAAUCGUUCAUCUGUAAAUCCGAAACCGACGACGACCACCACCAGUUCGUCCUCCACGAAGAUCGGAGCAUCCACUGUUCUCCUCCGCCGCCGGAGAAACCCCCUACGGCGGCAGAACUUCCUCCAGACGACGAGGAUCUCGUGAAAUGCGUCGUCUCCGGCGAAAUCCCGUCGUACUCUCUGGAAUCGAGGCUCGGCGACUGCUACAAGGCGGCCAAAAUCCGCCGCGAGGCGGUGCAGCGGCUGGCGGGGAGGUCCGUCGAGGGUUUGCCUUUGGAAGGAUUCGAUUACGACUCAAUUUUAGGGCAGUGCUGCGAGAUGCCGGUGGGGUAUGUGCAGAUUCCGGUGGGGAUUGUUGGCCCCCUUUUGCUGAACGAAUGCGAAUUCUCUGUGCCUAUGGCCACCACCGAAGGUUGCUUGGUGGCGAGCACAAACAGAGGCUGCAAGGCGAUCUACGCAUCCGGCGGCGCAACCUGCGUCCUUCUCCGAGACGGCAUGACCAGAGCUCCGGUUGUUAGGUUUUCGUCGGCAAAAAGAGCGUCGGAAUUGAAAUUCUUCCUCGAAGAUCCUCUCAAUUUCGAUACGUUGUCUGUCGUUUUCAACAAGUAAGCGAUUUUGUAAUUAGUUGAAAAUUGACCAAUCUGGUUCAAUUUAUAUCAAUGCAUGUCAUCUUGUUUGUUUGGAUUCGAGCUAAUCUGAUGUGGAUUGGUGUAAUUUGAAUUCUUAUAAUCGAAAUCGGAUAAAAUAUUGAAUCGAUUUAAUCGUUGUUCAGGUCAAGUAGAUUUGCAAGACUACAGGGUAUAAAUUGUGCAGUUGCUGGAAAAAAUCUGUACAUAAGAUUCAGAUGCAGCACAGGUGAUGCUAUGGGGAUGAACAUGGUUUCUAAAGGAGUUCAAAAUGUGUUGGACUUUCUCGAGAACGAUUUCCCCGAUAUGGAUAUUAUUGGCAUUUCCGGUGAGUGCUAUAUUGCUGAUUACGAUCCGAAUUUUUCCGAUUUUGGAACAAUAUUUUCCAUUCUGAAAUCCGGAAACUCCAUUUUUGUUUUUUCUUUUUUCGAUUUUUUUUUGUUGGAUCGGAAUUGGAAUAUAUAUGAGAUGCUGAUUUCCAAUCCGAUUUUAAUUUACGAAAAUAUUCCAACAAUUCUGAUUUUUUUUUCCAAAAAUAUUCCGAGUUUUUCCCGCGAAAAAUUAAAGUUAUCAUAUUAAUAUUGUUAUGCAUUUUAUAUAUUGGUUGACUAAAAAUUAGAACUUUUCGAGUCCUGCCGAUCCAAUAGGCAUUUUUUUUAUUUAUUUGGAAUAAGCUUUUUCAUUCCAAUUUUAGAAAUUUUGAUUUCUGAUCUUGCCGAUAUUUUUUUUUGGAACGGAAUUGGAAUUAGUUAUUUACUUCAAAAGAAAAUUCGCAAUUUUUCCGAAAAUACUAAUUCCGAUAUGAUCUGUCCAAUUUCCACUCCUAGUUUUUGGGGUGGAAGUUGGAACGGGAUUGCUGAUUUCUCCCGAUUCGAUCCGAAAUUUUUCCGAUUUUAUAACAAUAUUUUUAAAUUCCAGUCUAUUUUCCAUUUUUUUGGAUUGCAAUUGGAACAUAUAUUAUGAGAUUCCGAUUAUGGAUCAGGAUUUUAAUUUCCAGAAAUCAUUCGGAAAAUUCCAAAAAAUAUUUGUUGUUACUAUACUACAGUUUGUCUUAUACUAGAAAGAUUAUCAUAUGCUAUUACGACUUUCGGUGCAUGCAAUCAAUAUUUUGCUUUCCGUUUUCUUUUGUCGUUUAUGAGUAACUUUGUCUUUUUUGGUUGUUUAGGAAACUACUGUUCCGAUAAGAAACCAGCUGCAGUGAACUGGAUCGAAGGGCGUGGAAAAUCAGUAGUAUGCGAGGCUGUUAUUAGUGGUGAUGUGGUGGCAAAGGUGUUGAAAACCACCGUACCGGCCCUCGUCGAGCUGAACAUGCUCAAGAAUCUCACUGGCUCUGCCAUUGCCGGAGCUCUUGGCGGCUUCAAUGCACACGCCGCAAAUAUAGUCUCCGCAGUAUUUAUAGCUACUGGACAAGAUCCAGCUCAAAACAUCGAAAGCUCUCACUGUAUUACUAUGAUGGAGCCUGUUAAUAAUGGCAAGGAUCUUCACAUCUCGGUUACGAUGCCGUCUAUUGAGGUACUAUUUUAUCAACAUCAUAAUUCGUGUACUGUCGCUAAUUUGUUAUAUUUACUAUGCCGUCUAUUGAGAAAACAAUAUAAAUCUGAAAUAUACGGACCUUUAUUUUUCUUCGUAUGGUAUAUUGUGUAUCGGUAUUAGGGGUGGAAAUUAGAACGUAAUUUCUGAUUUCCGCCGAUUCCGAUCCGGAUUUUUUUCUGAAUUUGGAACAUUCAUUCCGAUUUUUGAAUUAGAAUUUUGGAAUAUAUAUUAUGAGAUUCCAAUUUCCGAAUUCGAUUUUAAUUUCGGGAAUAAUUCCGAAAAGUCCGAUUUGUUUUUCCGAAAACUACAAUUAUAAAUUAUAACAACAAUACUAUCAUGCAUUUUAUAACUAUCAUGCAUUUUAUAUUUAGAUGACUAGAAGGUUGGAAAUUUUGAAUUCCUUCCGAAAAUUUCCAAUUUCGGAACAAGUUUUUUCAUUCGAGUUUCCGAAAUUCCCAUUUCGGAUUUUAAUUUACGGAAAUAAUUCCGAAAAUUUUGAUUAUGCAUUUUAUAUUUUAGGUGACCUAAAAAUUGUAAAAUCUCCGAAAUUUUUCGAAUUUGGAACAAGUUCUUCAUUCCAAUUUCCGAUUUUCCCGCUUGCAAAAAAAAAAAAAAAAACCGAAGUAUGAUUAUAUUAAUCUAGAGACACCUUUAUACGUUUUUGUAUGGUAAAUUGCGUAUCAAUAUUCUGAAAACGCGAUUGCUGUUUCCGUUAUAGGUUGGAACCGUUGGAGGUGGAACUCAAUUGGCAUCGCAAUCUGCUUGUUUAAACCUUCUCGGAGUAAAGGGUGCUAACAAAGAGUCACCUGGUUCUAAUUCCCGGCUUUUGGCGACCAUUGUUGCCGGUUCAGUUUUGGCAGGUGAGCUCUCUCUAAUGUCUGCCAUUUCAGCCGGACAGCUCGUUAAAAGUCACAUGAAAUAUAAUCGAUCGAGCAGAGACAUCACCAAAAUCGGUUCCUAGGGUUUAGACAGAAACUCCCAGGUAUUCGAUUUAAAUAUAUUACAAUAAAUCAUUUCUAUAAUAUUUUGUAAUGCAACAAUUUGUUUUUUGUACAGGUUGAGUAAUUGUGUAGAUUAUCAUUGAACCUGGUCAAAUUUUAUGUUCAAAAAGUUUAGUGGUCUCUUUGUAAUUAAUUAUGUGUGGGGCUUCUUAGAGUUUGGAUUCAAUGGUAAGAAUGACUUUAUUGUGUGUUUGUGUGUGUAUGUUAUUUUAUUUUUAUUUUUUUAAAUUAUGUAUUUCCCAAAUGAAUGACAAAUUUAGUGUCCUUGCUAUUAUUUAUUGUCCAACUAUGUAAAGCUACACCAGGUAAAAUACACCGGACAUAUAGUUUUAUUUUAUACUUUUGAUUCGUGUACAAUUUACACAUGACGUACGAAUUUAUACACGUAUAUGUUAGAAUAUCAGCUCGGAGAAAAUAAGCAAGAAAAGUCUUGUCCUUUUAGUGUGCCACCAAUUUUGCUCUACUUGUUCAUAUAACAUGUGUGUGGUGGUAGUGGUGGUUAAAGGAAAAUUAUUUUUAUAAUAAUAAAUAAUUAGGCCAUAGUCCCCCACAAUUAGGGCUGGAAAUUGGAAUGGAAUUUUCGAAUUCAGCCAAUUCUGAUUCGAAAAUAUCCAUAUUGGAACCGUAAUUUUCAUUUUGAUUUUCGAAGUGCCGAUUUCAAAAUUUAUUUGGAAUGGAAUUGGAAUGGUAUAUAAAAUCACCAAAAAAUAUGUUGUAUAAUCUUUUUGUUAACCUAGUCUUUGAGUAGACUUUUUAUUUUUAUUUUCCAAGUAAUACAAAAUUGUCUACUCCUAGAGAACUUAUAGCAUAUAUUUAGCAGUGUUCUAAAAAUUGGUCGAGACGACCAAUUAAUCGAUCUUCAAGGUGGAGGCGGUCUAAAAUCUUUAUGCAUAAUUAAUUCUAGAGAUAGAAAGCAAACACAAUUUUUAAUACAAUACUGUCAAUCAUAAAUAUAAAAAACAAAUUAUUUUUAUAAUGCAUAAGUACAAGUUCAAAACAAUUAUAUCCUAUGUUUGUGUAUUAUAAUAAUAAAAAAGACCCAACAAAAUAGAAUAUAAUAAUACACAACAUUAUGAGCAUCUUAAUGGUCAUUUUCUCCAAUUUAAUAUGGUAAAAAAGAUUAUUAAUUUUGAAUAAAUGGAUUGAUUCCCAGCUCAUGAUAAUUUGGCAAUAUCUCAAAAAUAAUACAAUAAUUAACUCUUCCGAUGGCAUCACAUCACAUUGUUACACUUUUAUAAUCACAAUUAACGAGGAUUAACCCCACAAUUAACUACUCAAAUCACAUGGAAUCAAACAAUAAUUUAGAGGCUUAUUUUUGCAAUUUUGCUUAGAGUUGGGGUUAUUUCAGUCUUUGCUACUUUUCUGUUUAAUUACUGGAGAAAUUAAUUAAUUAUCUAUAAAUCCGAAAAUCACAUCCAUCAAACACCACAAUUAAAGACAAAAUCAAAUGUUGUCUUUUAAUGGCAAUUUUUUUUUUUGUUUCUUUCUCUUAUAUAAAUGUCACGAUAUGUGAAAUAUAUAAAAAUUUACAGUUUUUGUUUUAAUAUUAUAUAUUAUAAGUUUAUUUUUUUAAUAAAUAUAUAUUUUUCUAAUGUUUAUAUUUUAUUAGCGAGCUUUUAAAACUGUGCUUGAACUAUGUUAGAUAAGCAACUUUGUCGAUUUCGAACGAGCUUUAAUUUAGCCGAACAUGAAUCAAGCUUGAGUAGCUUGAAUUUUGCUGGAUAUUUUAUCAUUUUUAUCUAAUCAAGCCCCAAUUUCUCCAGUUUGUUUCGAUCAAAUUCGAAUAUAUAUAUAUAUAUAUAUAUAUAUAUAUAUAUAUAUAUAUAUAUAUACUUGUAAAUUAUGCAAAAAAUCCCAUCCCCCUAAUCCGAAAAUACUAAUUUAUUUUUUAUUUCGUAUUAGUUUUUCACUUGGAAAAAAAAUUGUAUUUUCCAAAAUACCAAGUAUGAUAUGGGCUUUUCAAGAUUCGGCCCAUUUUUUUAAAGUUGGGGAGAUUUCAAACAUUACAACAUUUUUUUUUUUAAAUUCGCAACUUUCAUAAAUUUAAAAAAUAAGGACAUCAUGUUUCAUAAAAUCAUAGAACUAAAAUUACUCGUACGAUAAAAUUUUAAUAUUUUAAAAAUACCUAUAAUAUUUUCAAUUGCAGUAGGCACUCAUAUAAUAAAUUCUAAUAUUUUAAAAACGCUCAUAAUGAUUUCAAUUACGUUAGAUAUAUGUUUUUAGACAUCUAUUUUCAAAAACCGGAAAAUUUCUAAACUCUCGAAUAGUAAAAGUGAAAACUAAGGAAGAAACCAGUGUUUUUUUACGCGAGAAACAACAAUAAAAUACUUUGGCUCCCCAAAUAUGGCCAAAAAUGUAUGUAAAUACUUCAAUUAUUUCACUUUAAGUAAAAUAAAAUAACAUAUUAAAAAUAUAUUUUUUGGCAAAAGUCGGAAUUUUCGGAGUUAACUUCAAAAAUUAAAUCGUAUCGAAAAUCGAAAGAAAUAUUUUGAAGUUCAAUCAAAAGAAAAAUCAGAAUGAAAAAAAUUAUUCCAAAUCAUAACAUCUUGGAUAAGAACCAGACGAAAAUUGAAAUUCAGUUGCAAACUAAUUAAUCAUCCUUGCUCAAAAAAAGAAAAAAAAAAUCCUUUUUGUUUUACUCACGUACAUAGUUUUUAGCUUUUGGUACAUAAACCAGAAAUUAAAAGACCAAUAAUAUUGUGCCACGUCAAACGUGAAAGAGGUACAGGUUAAUUUGACCACAGUGGAUUAUUUUUUAACCUCUUUCGAUUAUUCUCACCUCCAACUCUGAAAACUGUAAAUUGGUGACCAAGAAAUUCAACUGUAGAUUUGAUGUUCUCACCAAAUCCCCAAUUCCCUCAAAACCUAAUCUGAAUUUACAAUCGAAUUUCGAAGCAGAAUUUCAGCUCAAAUGUCAAGCGGCGGUUGGAGCAGAGCUUUCGGAAAUGCGAGGUCCUUUGUCGGCAAUUCAAUGGGCGGUCUGAGGGGCAGCAGCAGUUUAGCUUCCUGGGUCGUCGCCGGAACCCUAGCUUAUUACCUAUGGAUCCGACCUUCUCAGCAGCUCCGGAGAGAACAACAGGCAAAACAUCCGUCUUCAAUUUGUGUUUAAUUUGAUUUUUCUUCUUCUUCUUCUGAAUUUGAUUUUCUAUGCCGGAUUUUCAGGAAAAGGCGGCGUUGGCGGCGGAAUCCGACCGUUAUCGCUACGUUGAGAAGAGAAAACCGAUUCCCGAUCCUCAGGUAAUCUGAAUUUUCAUGUUCUCCGGCGAAAUUUUGAUUUUAUGAAAUUUGGGGAUUUUUUAUUUAUUUAUUUGGUCUGAAUAUUUAUUGCAGGAAACUGGAUUGGUGUAUGGGAAUAAAAACAGAGAGAAAAAAUCUGAGUAAAUUAUUUGAGUAAGUUAUGUUAGGUUGCAAAAUCAUCUGAGAAAUUUUGAUCUUUGUUUAUCGGAGUCGAGUUUGAAUAAACGAAAAAAAACAUAAGCGUUUAUACACGAUAGAUGUUGACUGUUCGAAUUGGCUGUCUUGUAUUUUUAUUAAGUUGUUUCAUACUUAGCAUGUUGAAUCAUGUACAUAGCAUAAUGUGAUCGAUUCGGAUGAUUAUGAUUUUUUUUUUAUCUUCUUUAUUUAAUAGAAUAGUAAACUCCGAGAUAAAAUUUUGAAUUAUGUUGUUGUAGUCAUUUUCGUCUCCGAAUAUGAAGGUUUCUCUAUGUGAACAUUGUCCGAUUUUUGUUGGAGAAGAAUAAAAUUGAACAAGAUUAUGUGCAAACUGCUUUAAUUUAAUACAUUAUUUGUUUCAUACGGUCCGUGUCUGAUGUUUCAUACGGUCGGUGUUUGAGCAUCAUCAAUUGCAAACUCUGCCAUUUUCUUUUUCUUCUCUCACCCUACGACUAAGCACUGCCGUUAUACUUCUACAAGUCGAUCUUUGUUUUAUAUACGAGGGGUAGUAUUAUUUUUCAUUUAGCUGCUGUAUUAGUUGAAAACUGUGAAGCCGUUAAAGCGUGGCUAAUGUAUUUCCGAGUCGUCAGUUUUACUAUUAAUAUCUGAAAGAUCUCAAAUUUUCUAGUCGUCGGUUUUACUAUUAAUAUCUGAAAGAUCUCAAAUUUUCUUGUCGUCGGUUUUACUGUAUUUAUGAGCUUUCUCUUUGUGAUAUUCUACUGAUGUAAAUUUUUUUUUUGCGUUUCUGCUUUAGGCACAUAUGUUACGGUGAGAUGGAAGUUUGUUUUAGUGUUUGUAUAGUAUCCUCAUUUGAGUUAGUUUUACGCUAUAAAUUAUUAGUUUUAAUCAUUACAAAAUUCGCCUCGUUUCUUUGAAGAUCGACAUGAUUUUGUGUGUUUUUGAUUUGUUGAAACGAAAGAAAUGACAUUGCGGGAAAGGUCAGAUGGGCCAGCCAUAGAUGAAUGGCUGACCAAUAUUGAUGAUAUUAUGUUGUAGUAGUUCUUAGUCAUAAUUUAAACAAUAAAUUGAUGCUUAUUUGUAUUUUAGUGAAAAUAUUUGUUAUUGUAGGAGUCAAAAUAUAUAAGGAGAGAUAAAAUUUCGAUUGUUUUUUCUCAUAGAGAUUCGAAAGUCGAUUAGAGAAAUUUUACAAACGUAAUUUCUUUUUUAGCUUUUCAUCAUUUUCUUGCAACUGUGUUGCCGAGGCUUUUGAGGUGUUGUCUGUCUUUUCUUGGCUUAGAAGUUUAAUGAUAUGGUUGGAAUGUGCUCAAAAUUGACUUUUCUGAUCUCGAAUUUUGCUACUGAAAAAGUGUCGUUGUUGAUCGAAAGGAAGAAUUUUCAAAGCGGAAAAAUAACUCAGUUUGUUGUCGACUCCAACUUGCUGGAAAUAGUGAGCAAAGUUUUGGUUUAUUUGGUGCAAAUUGAUGAAGAAAUUUGAUCAUGUAACUUGACUUUCUUGGCAAAAUAUACAAUGCAGAUAUGUUCUAUGCGUUCUUCCAAAUUAGAUGGCAUUUCAUGGAGAAUUUGCAAAAAGUUUUUCAAAUGUAAUAUCUUUUUUGAGAAGUGUUCAUAUAUAAUUUAAUUAACGAAAAAGGACACGUUUAUUUUUAUGUUAAAAAUAAAAGUUUCUUGCUUGUUUAUUUUGAAAAACACCCCUGUAUUAUUAUUAGUCAAGUCAUUGGGAACGAAAGAAGUGCAACCACUGAACGAUACGACUGUGAACAUUGCAUGGUGCGCUGCGGCUAUAUAAGUUCGCUGUUGCAGUUUGCUGCUAAAUUUUAAAAGUUAUAUGCUAAAUUUCAGUCGAUCUUCACCAUCGUUUUAGUUUUUCAGUACCAAUUUUAAUCACUUUUUAGAAGUUCCAUGUCCUUUUUAACCAAUUUCAAAAGUUCACUGUUUAUCACAUGAAAAAAGACAAGUGAAUGUACAUUAUGGUGUAGGACAUUGUUUAUACAUACAUGAUUAACUCAAUGACUUCAACUAAUACAGUACCAUCACCAUCCAACCGAUCGAUGAAUACGUUGUUAGUCGAUCAAUAUAUGCACUAGGUAAAUUCUACUUGUGCAAACCACACCCGAUAGGUAGAUUGCACUGGAUAAGCUGCUAUGAGUGCAGAUUCAAACGGAGGUCUUUUCGACUUUGUUGUCACCUACUCUCGACCAACUUUAAAGAUAAGAUUUUCUUGUUUAGAUUGAUUAUGCAUAAAGGUGAUCCCAAACAAACCAAAUGCACACAAAAGUGAGCUAGUAUCAAAUGAGUUUCAAAGAAUGUGGGAUGUGAUAGGCUUCAAAAUGGCAUCAAAACAAUCACAAGUUGGGAAAUUGGAGGGACCUUUUUUUUUUUUCUCUCUUUCUUCCUUUAUUCUCUCUCUCUUCUUUUUUUUUUUUUUUUUUUUUUUUGUUUUUGAGAAUGGAGGGACCCUUUUAUUGAUGAUAAUGGUGGUAAGUUGUUGGAUUAUUGCUCAAGUGAUGCCUUGAACCUUCCCAUUUUAGAUAUAGACAUGGUUUAAUUUGGGUCAAUCACCCCUCACUUCUUGUUCCUACUUUAGCAAAUUCAAUUUCCACCUUUGAAGCUAUUGAAAAUAUUGCUUAUUCAUAGUACCAAUCCACUUAUGCUCCAUCACAAUACCAAUUUUGAGUGCUUAAUUUCAAUUUUGAUUGCUUAUUUUAGAUCCCUUUUGUCUAGAAUGCUUUUGUGUCCCAUCCAAUAUAAUUUUGUUUUUGCCUUAAUAUCGUUUUGCUUGAGUGACAUUUAAAAUCCUUAGAGAGUUUUGCAGUACGAAGAGUAAGGUGGUGUUUGCAAAAGUUUUUAGAAACAACUUUCGAGCUUUUCAUAGCUCUAAUUUGUUGUUAGGUGUUAGCUAAAUCAGUUUUUGCUUUUGUUUUUCUAAAAUUAAGUUGCUUUAAGCUAUUUUUUUAAUAUUGAUUUUCCAAUAUAUUUGCAAACACUCCAACUUUUAGAAAUAAACAUUUAAUACCUACUUAAUUCACAAUCACUAACUUAUGUUUUUUAGUAAGCUUUUGCAAACACCACCUAAGUGUUGAAUAAUCAAUUUAAUCUAAAACGGUUAAAAUUUGGAAAAACAACUAUGAGUAUAACUUUUUAGGAUGAACUAUAAUUAGGUAUAUAGACAAAUAUAUUUUUCGCAACCGGUUGCAAUACUCUCUGAAUUGAAUAUUUUAUAUUUUCAUGUGCUACUUUAUUUAUUUGUGUUUAUAGUUCAAGGUUUUCUUAUUCUUCUUCCUUUUUAGGAGUUCAAUGAACAAUUGAUUUUUUUAUUUAUAAUUUUCUAUUUUAAUUAUAUUUUUCAAUGAGUAUAACUAAGUUUGUAACAAUUAUGAAUUUCAUCGUUUUGCAUAAUAAAUUUGCUAAUAGUCUAUUCUAUAUUUUUGGUUUUUGAGUUCUCUCCCUGCGACUUUGAUUUGGAACAAGUCAAUUCUAUUUUUUGUAACUUAUCCAAAUUUUCAAUCAAGUUGUCAUAGUGGUUGACUUUCAUGGCUUAUUUAACUAUAGUCUAUAUUUCAUUUUUAAGAGAAAAAAAAUAAAAAAUAAAAAAUAAAAAUAGCCUAUGGUAAUAUAAUAAUGAGAAGAGCGUUAAAACCAACUACACGUGUACGUUUGAUGUGAAAUAAAUAUAAUAUAGUAUGUGUAUAAAAUUUAAUUUAAAUUAAGGUAAUUUAUAUCAAUAUAAAAAUUAUUAUAUAUUUUGAAAGAAGAUUGUAUUUGAAGUAUUAGCUCGCAUGCAGCUACACAAUUCUAGUAUUGCUCGUUAAUUACUCAAAAUAAGUGAUACCACAAUCAUAACACAAAUAAUACUUAAAUCUUUUAGUGUUAAUGGAGCAACAAUACAUGAAAUAAAUCCAACCUUCAAAACAUCUAUUAUUUUUAGUGUCAAAUUGAUGCCUCAAGCUAUGUUUAGUGUUCAUGUGGGGCAUCACAAAAGGUAAUUAAUUACUUAAAACAUCUUCGAAUCGGACAAACUGAUCGAGGAUAAGAAUAGUUUUUUACUAAAAUUCCUGAAUUCGCUAGUUUUUCCCGACUUUUUUUUAUCAAUCAAGUUGAAUCUUCUUUAUUAUAAUGGUCGUCAAUUCAAUUAAAUUGAUUUGAAUUUUGUUGCACUUUCACUUCGUCAAACUAUCAUGACACACUUUGAUGUCCAAUGAAAUUGAUAAUAUUGGCUUUACACCUCACCUACUUGUGUGUGUACUUGAUGUGGCCUUUUUGACAACAAUUCUUUUAUAUAUAUAUAUAUAUAAAAAUAAAUAAAUAAAUAAAUAAAUUUGUUGUAAGGUUGGUGGUGGGUGCACAUGUGAGGAUCUUAUAAUUUAGUGGGGGCAUAAAUUAAAUUAAUAAAUAGUAGUUGGUUGGUGGGAAUUUCAAUUUGUGUGGGUGGGGAGCUAUUUGGGGACAAAUUGAGGAUCAUUCUGCAAUUUCACACACAUGUCUCCACCUCGUUUGAAUUUCGUGAGUUGUGACUCGUAUUUCAAACUAAAAUAAAAUAUUCACAUGACCUUUUAUUUAUUAAUUUAGUUAUAUUUUUGUAGAACCAAAUUUUAUUUACCUCACCAUUCUUAUAACUAAUUAAAUAUAUAGUGUAUAAACUUUUGUCAAUACAAUCCCCAACAAUUUAAUUAUAAAUGAAAAAAAUAAAUAAAUAACUUGGCCAUCCAGAAAAAUACUUAAAUUCUUCUCCAAAAAAGAAAUUCGUAAAAUUUUGGAACGAAAUCAACGAGAUUAAGUAAGUUGCUACAUCUGUUUAUAUAUAUAUAUAGUGGGUGCUUAUUAGCCGCGGACGAAAUUAAAUAAGCAGCCACUAAAUUCAUGAGUGGUGUCAUGCAUGUAACCAUAAUUAUGUUCAGAUUUACGGUUAACAAGCGCUCGAUGAAAAUAAUUAGGUGUAUCCGCUAACUUCAUCAUAAAAGAAAGUAGAUAAGGUUAAAGAAUUGAAUAGCAAGUUCCAAUGCUCCCGACACUAUCCACAUGGCUCCUCCCUUUGACCAUCAACUCUAAUUAAUUAACCUCAUAAAUUAUUAUUUUUCUCGUUCCCACGAGAAUUAUUAUUAUUUUUAUAUAUUCAAAGGAGAAAAAUAGUUAUAUAUUUAUUCUCCUAAUUAAAUAAUAGGGUAAAUUACAAACACCCCUAGAUAUAUGGCCAAUUUACAAAAAAAGCUCUCUUAUUUGGAUAAUUACAUCUAACUCCCUCAAUUAUGUUUUUUCUUACACCUCCAUCCUUAUCGUGUCAGAUUCAACAUAAUCAUCUAGAUUUCGUGGAAUGUGCUCUAGUUUGUACUCGUUUUGUGUAAAAAUACAGUUUCAGAUGCACUAGAAUAUGACAUAUACAAGUCAAAAAACACAUAUUAUGAUCAUCUUGCUUCAAAAUGUAGAGUUCAAAUGGGAUAAACGGGUAUAAAAGUGAUCAUAUUCCAUAUAAUCUCGAAGAUUUCACUAAAUUUGAGGAGUCGAGGAAUGGUUGUAAUUAUCCAAACAAGAGGGGGUUUUCAUUUUUACGCUAAAUAAUCUCUUGCGCACACAUACAAUACUACAAUUCAAUAUUCAUAUCGAACAAUGGAAGCACAUUGGCCAUCUUUUAGUGGGGAAUAUAAAGAUUAAUCUUACUCCGACUUGAAUAUAUAUAUACACAUGUGAGAUUAAGAGUGUAAAUGAGCUGGUUGAGCAAGUUUUGCGUGUAACCGACUCGAUAAAAGCUCAAAAUCGAUUUCGAAUAUAUUUUAGUAGUUUCAUGAGUUCACGAGGUGAACUCGAGAGUAUUCUUAGCCCUAAUUUUCCUCUGUUAUGUUGCAAUAUGUUGACCAACGACGACAACAUGAGUGAGGUUAAUCUCAUUGUAUUCUUACUUACUACACCCAGUGUAAAUAAUUUUAGGUGUAUCAUCGAAUUUACAAUUGCUUGGGUACGUCCAUGAAUUUUAUUAUUGAUUAUUUCAAUCUGAAAUUCAAUUAAGUUACAUUAGAAAGACAACGACAAAUUCUAAUACAGAAGUCUUGCAUGUGGAUUUUUCUUCUUAAAUGUGUUUAUGAUCAGUUUAAAAACAAUUAAGCAUUGACUCUAAUUAAUUAAUUAAGCUGUCAGCAUAAUAAAUCAUUUAAUAUUUAUAUCUUCGACCACAGUCAAAAUACAUUUGGUAAAAUACCACAUGUCUGUGUUGCAAAAUUAGGAGGUGUAUUCAACGAAUGUAAUAAAAAAUCACCUAAUUAAUUAGUAAUAUAGGAUGAAUCAUUUUUAGUUUAUUUUAUCUCAAAGAAAGAUAUAAAUUAGAGUAAUUUGAAGGAAUUUUUGUCUUGGUAGUAAAUGACUGUUUCGCCCCUCAUUUUACUGCACACUUUUCAACCGUCUCUUAUUUUCAUCUCUUUUUAUGUGAAUUCAGCAGCAGCAGCAGCAGCACCCUAACCUAAGCGCAUGCCUUUUUUCUCUCUCUCUCUAAAAUCUAAAACCCAUUCAUAAAUAAAUAAUAUAUAUGUACAUGCAUGAAUCUACAUAUAUUCCUAUGCGUGUAUAUAAUAUAAAAUAUAAUAUAAUAUAUAUAUAUAUAUAUUUUGUACGUAUAUAUCUAUUCAUUUGAGUUUAGAGUUUUGAGCUUCUUUUAUAUAUCCUUUAUUUAUUGAUUUAUUAUCCGUCACGCAGACGAAGACAGUGACCACUUCCAGUUCAGAGUUUCUCUCUCUUCCAACCUCUUCUAGAGAGAGAAAAAGAAAAAAAACUAAACUAAUUAUUAGGGUUUUCUUCUCUCUCUCUCUCUCUCUCUCUCUCUCUAGAUCUAUAUGUAUCUGCCUUUGAAUCUUUGUUGGGUUUGAUGUUUAAGCAAGUUGGAGUGAGAAUUAAUAUUGGAGCGAUGAAUAAAUCAAAUUAAUUAAUUUAUUUCAUGUCAAAUCAGUUAUUGUUUUUAAUUAAUUAUUCGGUCAUUCAAUCUUGUUCUUGUCAGAUCAAAUUAACACUCCUAAAUAAUAUUUACCAGAAUAGAGAAUAUAACUCAUUAUAUUCAUUCUUUAUUACUACUUUUCCAGUUUUCUGUGUUCGUUUUCAUUUCUAGAGAGAGAAAGUUCUUAAUAUAUUUAGAGAGAGAGAGAUUGAUGUUUAGAAAUGGCGGGUUACGAACAUCAGCAAGGCUCCGGCGGCGGUGGUAAUUCUUCUCGCUACGUUCAUCAGCUUCUCACACCACCGCCGGACUUCCACUUGCAGCAGAGGCCGCCGCCGCCGCCUUCUUCUCGUCUUGAAAUUCAUCACGAGCUGUCUGCUAAUUCCAAGGACGACGACGCCGCCGCUACCACCAGCUCCGGGGGUACUCCCUCCGCCAACCGCCGCCCGCGCGGGCGUCCUCCGGGAUCCAAGAACAAGCCCAAGCCCCCAAUUAUCGUCACGCGCGACAGCCCCAACGCGCUCCGAUCCCACGUCCUCGAAAUCUCGUCCGGCAGCGACGUCGUCGAGAGCGUCUCCGUCUACGCGAGGCGGCGGGGGAGGGGCGUCUGCGUCCUCAGCGGCAGCGGCACGGUGGCGAACGUGACCCUCCGCCAGCCGGCCGCCCCCGCUGGGAGUGUGGUGACGCUCCACGGCCGUUUCGAGAUCCUCUCGCUUUCCGGAACUGUGCUGCCUCCGCCUGCGCCGCCGGGUGCCGGUGGGCUGUCGAUAUUCCUUUCCGGCGGCCAGGGGCAGGUUGUCGGAGGGAGCGUGGUGGGCCCGUUAAUGGCUUCCGGGGCGGUAGUUCUUAUGGCUGCUUCCUUUGCAAAUGCAGUGUUCGAACGCUUACCUCUGGAGGAAGAAGAGGGCGGCGGCGGCGGCGCCGCAGCUACUCAGCCCCAGCCGAGUGCGUCUCAGUCUUCCGGCGUCACAGCAGGAGGCGGUCGCGGUGGUCAUGCCGCAGAAGGCGGCGGCGGCGGUGGUGGUGGUGAUGGUAGCGGCGGCGGAGAUGGUGCGUUUCUGAACUCAGACACCACCCCACCACCGGGGAAUUAUCCUUUCUCAGCUGAAUUGUUUGGGUGGGGGAGUGGUAGUUCUGCCAGGCCGCCGCCGCCAUUUUGAUCGACGGUACUACCACGGUGAAUUGUUUAUUAUGGUGUUAAUUAAUUAGCUUUUAUUUUAUGUGUUAUAUAUUAAUUAAAUUAUUCUCAGCUUUUAAUUUGUUUGUCAAGAUUAAUUAGCAGUAAUUAAUUAAUAUGUUAUUACUAUUAGUGUUUGAGGGGGAAAUUUAGAUUGUUAAUUUGAAAUUGGAAGCAAAAGGAGAGGUUUUAUAAUUAUAAUUUGGUGAAGAUCAGAUUAAAUUAUCAUCAGCAAAUGCUAUAUGCAGCCGACAGAUCGAGAUCGAUGAUUAGAGAUCGACGAAGCAAUUUUUCAAGGUCAGUAAUUUAAUUUCGACAUUUUUUCACCCUAUGUAACAUUGCUAAGUGCUAUGCAAUAUACACAUUUUGGUAGAAAUUGAUUCUGAAUUAAAAGGUUUUGCCUAAUUGGUAUAUAUAUAUAUAUUUGAUUUACAUAGUCACAUUAUAAUUAAAUUAAUUACAUUCUCGAGUUUUUUUACCAUUCUUUCGUUUAUGCUCCGUGUGUGUGCGCGCACAUCAUUUUAGGUCGUGAUUUUUUGUGAACUCUAUUAGCAUCGACGGAUAUAUAUUACUAGGUCAUUAUAACAUGCAUUGGAUAUAUAUGUUGAGUGCUAGCUUGUUUAAUUAGUAAUUAGGUGCCAUAAAAUGCAUGAAUUAGGAAUAAAAAUGCAUCAUCGAUCUGUUGAUUAAGGAACCCUAAUCUUCCUCCCUCUUGCCGGAACUUUUUUUUUCGUUUUUUUGUUUGUUCAACGCGGCUGAAAUAAUAAUCGGACGACAACGGUUAUUUUUCUCUUGACUUUUGAUUUAUUAAUAAUUAUUACCUUUGUUUUUUCUUGAUCACAUGAUGAAAAGUUUAGUUAGUUGCACUUUCAUUUUAUUUAAUUAUAUAUACUUUUCGUGGGAUGUGAUUAAGCUAAUGAUAACAAGAUCGAUAAGCAUAAUCUUCCUCGCUCGCUGACAUCAUCGGGUCGAAACUCGACACACACACACACACACACAUAUGCUGGUGUUUGAAUAGAAGUUGUGUUGCUUAUGAUGUUUUGCAAUUGACUGUAAAAGCUAAUAUAUAUUUGAAUUAGGGCCAUGCAAAGUAGCAAGUUGUUGAAAACAAUUUAUCAAUGGGCAUCACUUGAUCAGUACUACUUCAAUUUAAUUUAAUCCUUGAUAUGAUAUAUAACUAUUUUGUGACAUUUUUGUCUGGUUUAUUAUUGAUUUCUUGUCUUUUUAUGUCAAUUAAUUUACUUUAAUGCCAGUAAAAAAGAAAACAAGAAAUUUACUGUCUGAUUGAUUCUUGAUUUCUUGUCUUUUUAUGUGAAUUAAUUCACAUUAAUGCCACAAGAAAUCUAGUGUCUGAUUGAUUCUUGAUUUCUUGUCUAUGGUUUAUAUUUUAUGAAGAGAACAGUACUACUAAUUACAUGUUUUUUUAUGUAUUUGGUUUAUCAAUAUUUUCACCCUAUUUUUUUGAAUCAUGGAUAAUACAUAUAUAUGUUUUUAGAAAAAUUGUAUAUAUAUAUAUAUAUAUACUCACCUUUUUCCGCAUUAGAUUUUGUGCUGAUGAGCUACAAUUUUGUUUUAAACACAUGCAUGCAUGUGGUAUAAUGCAAUGUUUUCAAAAUCGGAACACCGAACUUGGUAGCCAGUUGUCGAGUUGUCGUUGGACAGGUUCGAAAAAUAUAGCUUGAAGGUGGAAGGAAAAAAGAAGUGUUUGAUGGAGUAAUAUUUAGAAGACGUUGCAAGGGCAAAUAUGGAAAACAUAAUUACUGCAACAUUCGUAUUUCAAAGUGACACGUAGUAUAUAUGGAUCGAAUAAAAUUAUGUAAAAAGUGACAGACAAUUAAUUCGAAACGGAAAGAGUGUAUGCAAACCAUGGCAAAGUCAUCAUCGAACCGGUAGCGGUUGAUAUUUGCCGGUUCGGUUUUCAUAAGCAUGUGGAGAAAUGUGUAAUGGUAACGAGGUGAAUGCGUAGAGAUGGUGUUAACUUUGUGGUGAGGGGGUGGGGGGUGGGGGUGGGGUGAUGGGUGGGUGUAAUUUGUAAAGAGUGGCACACAAUUCAAUGCAUGAUUUUGCCUGCCAUUAGAGAGUGCUUUGGUGGUAUGUAUAUUUAAUGAUGAUGAUAGCCAAAUGUCAAUCCAUAUAUUAUUAUUAUUAUUAUCCUAUUUAUUUAUUAGUUAAUUAAUUAAUUAGCAGCCAAGUUUUCAUCAUAAAUGGUGCAUGGGUGGUCCUCCUGUAUGUUUCACAAAAGUGAUAAUAAUCUAAUAUCGCAAAUACCAUUAAAUUUAAAACCGCAAGAGUUGGCGUGUAAAAAGAUUUAUAGUUAAGGGGUGUGGUUGUAAUUAUCCAAACAAGAGGGUUUUUUUUUUUAAUUUGACCAUACCUCAGGGGUGUUUGUAACCCUACAAUAAAAGAUGCGUUAAGUAACGCAACAUUGUCCUCGAAAGUCCGCUGGGAUAUUUUGAAUUUUCUAAAACUCCAAUGAAUCGUUUUUUUUUUUGUUUGCACCCCUUAUCUCAAGUUUUAGAUCGAACAAAUCCUUGGGGCAGCUAUAUUGGACAACUUAGAUACGAAAUAGAUAACUUAAUUUGAAAGUUUAGAUUGAUAAUAGACUGAAAAUGUACAGCAUAAUUAGAGAAUUUGAACAAAAAAUAGACAUUUUUUUAUGAAAGUAACCUUUUUCCAACGAUAUUGUUGCAGAAAUUAGGCAGUCGAGGGUAGAGGACUGUAGGGGGAGGCGGAAAAGUGGAAGAAAUACCAUUUUUUUAGAGGAUGUAGUUUUAAUAAUGGAUGAAUUGAAGGAUAGUAAGGUUUUUCAGUUUAAAAUAACUAAUUUUUACCUAAGUUCUUUAACUAAACUGCCCGAGAAACUUUAAGAAAAAUGCAAAAAUAUAAUUGUCCUAAACUCUAAAGCAUCUUAUAAGCUUAGCCAAACACCCUCUUAGAGAUACUUAGCAAAUUGCGUCUAUUUAUAAAUACUAAUUGAAAUGGAAACUAAACAAAUUUAAACAAGAGUAUGAAGAAGGAAAAACAAAUUAGGGGAAGGCAAAUAUACAUAUUCCUAUAACAUUAUCAAAAGAACUUUGAAUUUUUUGUUCAGCGAAUUCAAUCAUUUCGACAAAAGCUGAAGUAGGCUCCUCAUAAUCGAGCCAGUGAUGCUAAUCAUUAACUAUAAUAUUACGAAUUUUGUUUUCGUACCAUAAAAUGUAACAACCGAUUUUCCGGUGGAAAAAAUUCCCAAAUCCAAUCCCAACAAACACUAUCAAGCAAAACCAGACGGCAGCCGUUUUCAGUGAGCUUUUCAUAACCGAAGAAAAUAUGAAUAAAAUGCAAAGUUCAGACAAGGGAUGGAACGAAAAAACAAGUCUCAAUGAAUUAAAUGAAGGGUGGGUUCCGACUUACACCGUAAGAGCUAAUGGGGCAAUUGCAACAGGGGAAAAGGAAAAAAACAAGGCCUCCAAAAUAUAGUUGUCACUAAAAAGAUCAAAAUUUGAGCUUUAGAAAAAAAAAAAAAGGACGAAUCUAAAACCUAACCUGCAAAUGCAAAUCAUACACAUGUAAUUGUAAAAGCUAGACAUUCACAAAGCUAUCAGAUACUUCUGCACGAAUUGGUCGGUCUUGUUUGAAUGAAUUUUAGGUAUUAGAGAGCUCAAAUGGAACACGAACAAAAAGACGCCCGUGCAGGCUAACCACUGCAGAUGUCUUAAGUGGAUCAAUCCUUAAAGGUAGGCUCACCACCUGACAAACCAACCAACACAACGUUAUAUUCCUAAUAAAUGUACAGAAUUUUUCAGAAGUUUGUUUCGAUAAUGAGAAACCAUGAAGUUGUGUAGUUUAGAACUUAGUACACGAAGAAGAAUUCGUCAGCUUCUCAUUUGCAAAAAGGGAAAGAAUACCUUUUUGAAUGGUGUAACACCCCAGGGAUUUUCAACUUGCUCGGGUUGACCUGUUAUGACCAAACGUCCAGCGGGAUCUGACUGAACACGCACCUAAACGACCAAUAAGAAGCAUGAUUAUAAUAUUGUCAAUUUUACAACUAGUUCGAUUAAAUGCAGUAAAAUCAUACACUUAAUAAGUACUGAUACAACACCACCUCUGAUCCCGUAUUAUCGAAGACAGAGAAAAGUAGUUAAUGAAAUGGAUAAGUUAUAUCAUAACCACUCAUAACUGAUGCAUUUGUUGUGAACUUCUAUUUCCUAUUUUAAUGAAGUUGGUUUAUAUUCAGUUUAUUAGUAUAAUUAUGCAUAUGAUCUUGUAUUAGAAGAUUCAGAUUCGUAAUAUUAAAAUAUCAGUUUAGGAGCCGUGUCCUCUCCAUACGGAAAAACUUCAAUGGCUUAUUAAUGUGUUUAAGAUUCUUGCUUAUUUUGCCAUUUCUCUAUUUAUCAAUUAUUCUUGUAUUCUACGUAUGCACUAAAGUGAGAAAGCACACACCUCUUCACGUAGAAGCCCCGGUACAAGAGCAUAAACCUCGAAACAAUCUUCCUGCACCCGUAAAAACCAGUCAAAGUUAAUUAUUUUGUGUCAGUUGCACGGGUGCAUUGUGACAGAAUGGGAGAUUUGAUAAACCUACCGUUUGGCGAACGUUGAUCUUCACCCAAUCAGCUGGAGGCCCAACAUCAACUACUGAUGUCACCAGUCUACCAAACAAAAAUAGCAGCAAGGAAAAAUCAGUUACCCUGAUUUUAGUGUAAUCCAAAAAGAAGGUGGAGGGGGGAUUGUGGAAAAGACACAUCUAAAGCAAUUAUACCCAAAAAGGAAAACAAAAUAGUUAUGCAUUUUUCAAUACCACUGUUACUCAGAUUCUUAGCGUUCACACUCGUUAUUUGACAAAGAAGUCAAUCCUAUGACAUGACAGAUACUACUUGGAAAACAACAAAAGGAAGAGCAAGUAUACAGUUUCAGGUUUUCUAAGAUUACAAAGUAACCUAGCUAGGAGAACUAGACUGUAAAAACGCAAUAAGUAAACACAAUAAUGCAGAAGUUUUACAUACAAAUUUCUAGCCCACUGGGAAGAAUUUUGAUCUCCUUAUUCAUAUUGGCACUAAGCAUCUUAUUGGACCACUUGCCAAGCAGAAUUUUAUCUAAAGAUAACCCCUACACGUAGAACCAAAGAGUUCCAAAUAGUCCUAAACAAAAGUUUGUUACCUGAAGUGCUCAAGUUAUCAGUUUACUACAUAAGGAAAAGUUAAGAACUCGAGCAACCAAACAAGCCACAGCCUGCAAACAAAUUGGUAGCAGGCGUCUAAGUUGCCCAUAGUUAUUGGCGUCUUGCACAUGGAUAGGUAAAUAAACUGUUUUAUCAUGGAUAAAAUCCAGUAUGAUAGAAAAACCAGAUAACAGUCACUCGGACAAGUACGCUCUACUCUGGUUGGAUCUUAGGCACAGAUCAAGGACUGCUAUCCAAUCUUGGUCAACAAUUGAACUUUAGUGGCAACUUUAAGAUUGUGUAUGUGUAUAUAUUUAAGGUCUAAAAAGUAAUCUACUGAUGUAUUCUAUCACAAAAAAAGAACAUCAGUUACAGCUGUGAUGAUAUACCUAUAAAAGCGUCACGAGGUCGGGGAAAUGGUGAACUUACAUUAGGCAACAGAUAUAAGCCAAGUUCAAUCAGAAAACAUAAGGAAAUAUAACUAAUCAAACAAAAACAAGCUUAACUGUUUCGAUGAUUCAGCUCGGGCGUAUUUAACCGAGUUCUCCACCUCAUUUGGCCUCUUCUGCUUGAGUGAGCCUGAAUUCACACAUCCAAUUAAGAACAAACCAACAAAAGGAAACAAAGUGAUAUUAAGAUGAAGCAGAGUUAACCCAUAUCUAUUGGUCCAAAAGAUUAAUCGAAAGUGGAGCAUAUACAUUAAAAGAUAUAACAGAAACUAGCUUACCAAUGCUUUUAACAUUUUUCUCCCGCUUCGCCAUACUGUUAAGAUUCUUGUCCUAUUGAAAACAUAAUCAAAGAACGUUUCAGAAUACCAAUAGAGGUCCAUGUGCUUUAAGAAUUAAGCAGUUACUGUUUACAAACCUUUAUAACAGGGUCUCCAGCCUCGCCACCAAAAAGGCGUUGGACAUGCCAACCUUGCAUAGCACGAGCAGCAGCAUCUCUUCUAGCCCUUCCAGAUCCUGCUCCUUGAUAGCCAUUUUCCUACGCAGUUAUACAAGACAAAAUCGAAUCUAUGAUGAAGCCUGAGGCUUAUGCAAUUUAUCAUAUUUUACGGGGUAUAUUAACAUCCAAAACACAAACACGUGAUCUACAAAUCUAAAUAAGAUGCAGGCCACACACAAGGGACAAGGAUAGAUAUAAAGUAGAAACCACGUGAUAUACAAGGAGGCGGAAUAAGAGACAUGUGGAGGAGGAGAGAGAGGGCAGGAGGCGGGUUAAACAUUUAAGCCACCACAUUAGUGAAACCCAAGCCAAAUCCUCCAAAUAGAUAUCUUCUAUUAGAUGCAAAAGAAUGAGAACCACCAAAGCUAAAUGCAACAUCGGAACAUCUACAAAAACCCUUGAAAUUCUAGCUGUUCAACUGCUAAAUUCAGUAAUAUCAUAAAAUGUUUUAAUCUUCUCAGCUCUAGUGGGUAAAUUAGAGGGUUGGACUCUUUACUAAAAAUAAACGAGAUUAAAGUAAGAAAAAUGAGAGGAAUGAAAUUAAAGAAGAAAGGUUAAAUAAUAUCGUAAGAAAAGGUUUACACUUCCAUUCUCCUCAAACAUCAUAAUUCUUUCAGCAGAAAUCUAUGCCAAUGGCCACGAUAAAAUCCAAUACUCAUACUGAUGGAUGUACUGCAUGGAGAAGAGUAAAAAGAAGGGGGAAAAUAUAUUCAACGGAAGUGCAAACUCACUUCACAGUCAGCACCAGAAGCUUCAGGGAGCAUUGGUACCGGGAGUUGAAGGUCACCACUUUGUAUCUUAUGAGCUUCAUAAUCUCUAAGAGACUGUCGCAAAUAAAUGAAAAAAUGUCAAUAAACAGUGAAAAAGAUAAGAUUUAGUUAUAAGUGAUAUAUAUAUAUAUAUAUAUAUAUAUACACACACACAUAAGGAUCACAAAAUAUAAAAGAGAGAUCAUAAUAAGAAACAUAUUUUUCCUGUUCCGGACUCAUCUCCUUUUACAAUUAAUGUCAUAUGUAUUCCCAAUCACUUGAAAUAUAAAGAAAAUGUACUACAUCAUGUUAUACUUGAUGUUGAUUACAGUGUUUCAGUUGAUACCAAAAAAUCGUAGAGUUAAUAAAAUCUUCUAUUGAAAAAAGCUGAAUUAUUUCCCCGCAGAAGAACUCAUGAAGCUCCCCCACAAUGAAUCGAAUACGACGACUAGUGAGACCAACAAAAUAGGGAAGUUAGACCGGAAUGAUUACCUUCUCAUAGAAAAUGCGGAAUGUCCAAGAAACUGUUGUACAAGUCCUGCCCAUGAAAAAACAAACCCACUUGAUCAACUUUAAAAUCCAUUCAUUAAAUUUUUGAAGAAAUUGGAUCAAAUUGCUGAUAAAUCAUAGUCUGUAUAACUACAGCUAUCAAACAAAUGGAAAAUGCAAUAAAACAAUUCAAACUAUCUCUUGUAAUGGAAGCCAAGUACAAAUCUAAUCUAAAACUGUAUAUGCACAAAAUAUUUCUUUCUGAAUUUCAUUACUACAUGAUCUUUUAUUUACUUAAUCAAAAAUGAAAUUAUUCCAACUUAGCACGUUCUACAAUCAUUUGAUAAAAUUACUGUCUAUUAAGAAAACCAUGCUGAAAUACUAAUACGACAGAUAACUUUAACCAUUGAAAGUUUAUCAGUAAUCCACAUCAAACUGUUGAAAAAUAAUGUUAAAAAAAAAGGCACACUCUCGUAAACAAACAUAGAUGGUAAAAAAAAUCCACAUAGGGCCUUACUUUGGUGGAUGAAACGACUCUCCCACCUGCCGCCACAACUUGGAUCCAGUUACCUAUUAAAGGGUGAAAAAAUCAUAAAUACUGAAACAGCAGCAAAGAAACUUACUAUCUAACUCGAUGCUCUAAUUAACUAAUUAAAGAAGUUCAAUUAAGUGCAGAAUACCACAACUAAAAUAAAAGAGUAAUGUACAGUAAAAUAAAAGAGCAUUGGAGAAAUUUCGACAUACAUACCCUGUCAUAGCCUCCUAAUCUGAUGACAGCUCUCCAUAACCUAGAUACCGACAAGGCAAUGAAAAAACAAAUUUACCCGAGAACAAGAUAAUAAUAAAAGUAAAUGAAUAAAAUACUUACUUCAGGCAAUUUAGUGGCUGGCCAUAAAAUUUUGGUGGUUUGAAGUCUAUGGCCCUCUCUCGAUGAAAAGUUUCUAGUUCCUUCAUGAAUGCUGCUUGAUCUUCUAGUGUUCCAUCAUCACCCUCUGCCAUCUAACAAAGAAGACAAACGAUUAACAACUGAAACCUGUGAUGGAUCCAUUUCAUGACUGAUUUCAAUAAUAAAAAUUCCGGUAUAAAUUCUAUUACCUGAGGUAAUGCUGUAAAAACAGUCUUGCUAGUUUCUCCGCUACGAUCUCUAAUCUUUGCAGGAUUAUGUAUCAAAAGAGAAGAGGGUGUAGCAGCUUCAGGCUGGUUUAAAAGUGAGGAAUCAUGACCUCCUUGUUUGGUUGCAGUUUCAACAUUCUUGGCAUUUUCAUCACUUACAGGGCUAGCAAGAAUUAUUUCUUUACCAUGUUCUUUAGCUUCAUUAUUAACUGUUUUAUCCUCACUUUCCUUAGAUGCAACUUCCAUUUCGACAUCCCCACCCAUUGGAACCUCAGUUAUAGCAGCAUUCUGGCUUUGAAGAGCUGCGUCUAAAGAUAACUCAGUUUGUGAAUUUCUAUUUUCCCUAUGAUCACUUACACUUUCAGCGUUUCCAUUUGUCAGUUCUUUCCUUGGAACAUGUUCAACACAACCUCCAUCUUCCAUUCCAAUAGUUUCAGGCAUCUCCGCUGCACCAUCUCCAAUGGGAUUUUCCUCUAUCAUAUUCUUAACAGGAUUUCCACCUUCCACGCCAUUCUCAGCGGACUUGUCUUCUUUCACCACACCAUUAGUAGUGUUCUGUUCAACCACUUCAUUCUCGGAAACAGUAUGUUUGUCCACUAAACUUAUAGCAUCAGUUUGCUCUUCAAGUUCAGGUUUGGUGCUGCUUCUCUCGUCAUUGUUACUGUUGGUAUUGGUUUGUUCUCCCAUAAUUUCCUCAAGAUUUAUUCGGUCAUUCGCCUCGCUUGCAUGAUUAGAUUGGUCUUCUAUCUCACUCUUUACAGUUGCAUUGCUAUUUGCUUCAUUACUCACACCAUUCUCACUUGUAUUUGCAUCCCCUACAACUCUAACUUCAGAGGGAGGGUUUUCUCCUUCGAUUUCAGUCUUAGAAUCAAGUACUUUACUCAAAGACUCUUCGACAUUAUUUCCCGAAUCAUGAUCAUGCUUUCCAGCCUCCUCCAUUUCUACAUCAUUUUGACUCAUUCUGUUAUCUAUUUAAGACAAUAUAUUGCAUCUAUCAGAGAUUCAGUAUAGACAGUUUCAAUGUGUUAUUAAUCAAAUAAAAAAAAAAUUUUGAAAAAUCCAUGAGCAAGAUAUAAAAUAAAAACCUAAGCGCUAAAUGGUUAUAGAUUAAACACAAAUUUCCAUUGAAUUUUAUGCUACACCGCAAUCACACGAAAUCCAAACCCUAUUCCGUCCCAAAAAAGUCCUGAUUUUUUCUUGCAUGAGAAAAAAACCCCACAGCCAAUUAAGUGGGCCUACAUUUAGAGAAAAUAAAAUCCGGCUCCAUUGAAAUUCAGGAAUUACAUGCAGUGCCAAAGUUGAAAUACGUAGGAAAAACCUGCGCGUAAUUGGGCGAAACACUUGCCUGAAACAACUCACGGCGGCGGCGGCGGCGGGCCAGCGGUUGGAGAGGUUUGCAAUGGCGGUGCAAUUGAAUCUAGGUUUUGGCUUCUCCUGUUUUUCAGUUAGAGCGAAACGUGGAGCCAGGCAAAUGUGAGAGUGUGUACAAAUCCUCACUCCGAAAAUGGGGUAAAAAUAAAAAAAAAAUUAAUAAAAUGAAGAAAGGUGUAUUUAUAAGGUACGGAAUUGGCACGUGUGUUUCACUGAGAUACGGCGAAAGGCUAGGGCGGUGUUAGAGAGAGAAAGUGCCUUCAAACGCCGGAGAGAGAAGAGAGAGAAAGCACGGCGAGAAAGCCCUGUUUCUGCGGUUGCCUAUUUCAAAAGAACGAUGAAACAACACCUGGAUACUGAACGUACCAAAUAGUAAAUGUCUAUUCUACCCCUCUAAAUUUUUGACCUUGUGUGUAUAAGUAUAAUAAUUGAUUCACUUGUGGGUAGUAUUUCGUAACGGGUGAGGGUAAAUAUUUAAUUUUAAUGUGUGUUUAUUAUUUCUCUCUCUUUGAGAAUUGUUGCCAUUAUCUUUAAAGAUUUUUUUCCAAAAGAUUUGAUUUUGGAUUUCUUUUUGAUAUUUAUUAUUUCUGAUUUAUCACAAUUUUGUUAAAUGUAUAUAAAAAUGAAAACUUUUAUUCAAUAUUUAGAUUUAUAAAUUGUCCUUUUAUAUUUUGUUAUAUUUUUAUAUGGAGCAAUCCAUAAGAUUUUCUAUUAUCUUGACCCUAAUGUAUGGUUAGUGAUAUAAUUUCGAUUUUCCAUUGAGUCAAAUUGUGCAAAUGUGUCAUUUAAUGCUCAAAUGAGCAUUUAAUGCAUAUUUGUCAAAAAUGUCAUUUUCGUAGUUUGACCUUACCUCAGGGGUGGGUGAUCGUAAUUUACCCAAAAAGGAGCAUUGAAAAACUAAUUUAUUACCUCGUUAUGAAUUAUUUUAGGCUAGUUUAGUUUGUAAAAUAAGUCACGGUUAACUAAAUUGAACGUUGUUUGAUGCUUGUUUAGAGUUGUAAAUGAACUGGGUCGAACCAAACAGACGGUGGUUCAAAUGGUUUGAGCGUUAUCGAGUCAAAUUUCUUAAUUGUUAUAACAAAAAUACGUUUUCAAACUUGGUUCGCUAUGUUGACAAAUCGAGCUCAAAUGAUUUUUUAACGAACAAUCUCGAAUAAAAUUUCGAUAUAUGACCUUAUGUUUAGUUAGUUUAAUAACUUUUCUGAUCAAUUUAUUAGAAAAAUUGGGCUUUCUAUAGCCCAAAACACCAUAAUAAAAUCAUGCGCAAUUGCCACAUUCGGCCCAACUCAAUUCGGCCAAUAACAAAGGCGCAUUUUAUGCAUGAUGAUGAUAAAUGGCCCCUAAGGUAUGGCCAAUUUAUUAAAAACCCCAUCUUGUUUUGAUAAUUACAUCUAAUCCCCUCAAUUAUAUUUUUUUCUUACACCUUCACCCUUAUGGUGUCAAAUUCAACAUAAUCAUCUAGAUUUCGUGGAAUGUGCUCUAGUUUGUACUCUUUUUGUGUAAAAAUACAGUUUCAGAUGCACCACAAUAUAUAUACAAGCCGGAAAACAUAUAUUAUGAUCAUCUUGCUUCAAAAUAUGAAGUUCGAAUGGGAUAAAUCAGGUACAAAAGUGAUUAUAUUCCAUAUAGUCUCGAAAAUUCCACUAAAUUUUAAACUGCAUGCAAGAGUGGACGUGUAAAAAUAUUUAUAGUUGAGGGGGUGGUUGUAAUUUCCUAAACAGAAGGGGGGUUUUUGUAAAUUGACCAUAACUCAGCGGUGGUUGUAAUUUACUCAUGUUUAAUUAAUUUAUUUUUAUAUUCUAAAAGGAAAUUAUGAUUUAAGAUUUAUGGAAUGAUUAUUACUAAUUACCAAUAAUGGGUCAUUGGGAUGCUAAAUCCGGUAAAAUACACUGGGUGAUUUUUAAUAUGGAGAAAUAUGCAAUACCCCCCUCAAAUGGAAAAUAUUAUGAGUAAAACCCAUUUGACUUUUAAGACUUUUGCACAAACCCAAAAUCCAAUCUUAAUUAGUGAAACCCCCUCAACAAAUGUGAUAAGCCGAAACUACCCUUAUAGGUAGGUUUUUUUUUAAAUAAUUGCAAUAUUUAUUUUCCAUAACCUCUCACGUAAUUAUAGGAUUACAUUAAUUCUCUCUUUAAAUCUCCAUAUUUCUCUCUUUCGUUAUCUCUCCUCUCUCGUUCUCUCACAAAAUAUUCGUUCUCUCAUCUUAUUCUCUCACAAUUUUUUUUUCACGCUCCUUCCUCUCUCUCUCUCUCUCUCUCUCUCUCUCUCUCUCUCUCUCUCUCUCUCUCUCUCUCUCUCUCUCUCUCUCUCUCUCUCUCUCUCUCUAUAUAUAUAUAUAUAUAUAUAUAUAUAUAUAUAUAUAUAUAUAUAUAAACACAAUUCAUCUCUGUAAUUUAAAAUUCUUUUGUAAUUGUAUGUGUUCUCUUGAAUCUUUGAAGAUUGUUGGAAGAAUUGUUAGUCUUUGAUUCAGUUACAACAGCGGCAUGUAAUUUGAGAACCUUUGAUAAAAUUCUUCAAAUGCGCUAACUGUAAGUUGUUCGUCGUUUUAAUUUCUUGUUUGAUGCCUUUGGUUUUAAUAUAUAUUCUCAUGAUUUAAGAUUCAUACUUUGUUUAUGUUUCUCAGGUGAAGUACUCAAGAGAGCCCGACAAUAUUGCCAAAUGUAAUUCAUUGUUCUUCUUAAUUGCAUUUUAUUUGUUCUAUAUGCAAGCCACUGGCCAGAGCCGCCAUUUAGGGUUACGCGUUUCCUCCUCCCAACCCCAUAAAUACCCCAAACACUCUUGCCUCCGCCACCUUACAACUAACCCAUACCAGAUUGAUGCAAAUAAAACAACGCCGACGAGAUUUGAGGAACCCGUAGCGCAAUUAGGAGUGUAGUCACAUUGUAGUCACAUUGUAGUCACAUUGUAGUCACGUUGGAGUCACAUUGGACUCACUGUUAUUGAAUAAAUACAUACUUAAUAUGACUACAGUCAUGGUUAAUUCAUAUUUUUUUUCUCGAAUUAAUUGUCGAAAAACAGACUAAAGUUUUUUUAAUUUGGUAAACAUGACUGUAAUACACUAUAUAAUCAGGUAUUUAAAGUUGAAAAUGCAAAAACCGACAAAAUAAAGAAAGAAUAUGACUACAAUUGAUAUAGUCACAUACAGUCAUAUUAGAUUAUAGUCAUAUUCAACUAUAGUCAUAUUCAACGUAAUAAACUUGUCUGGGGAAAAAUUCAAUUUUUUAUUUAACAUUUUUGUAAGAAAAUAUUAAAAAAAAUAAAAAAUAAAUAAAAAAUAAAAAAAUAAAAAUAAAAAUUGUACUCUGCAAAGCUUUUAAUUAGUGGGUUUUGAUUUGUACGUGAUCAAGCAUAUUUUUAUUCUUUUUAAUUUGUUGGCUGAUUUUAAGGAGAUAUGAUAUUGUGCUGAUUUUUUUUUAUUUUCUUCUUUAAUUAAUUGGCAGAAUUUAAGGAAUUCGAAUAUUAAGUGUUGGAAAAAAAUCACUAUUAUUUAGGCAUUAUUUACGGAAACAAGAACCGUGCAAUUAUUGUGUAGGAGAUUGUAUAAUUUUAGAAGGGUAGUAUUGGAAUUAAUAUUUAUAGGGGGUUAUCACAAAGAAAGAUUUGAGGGUUGGAUAUAUCACCUUUUGUUAUUCAUCCAAGGGGUUUAUUGCUAAAGACCCCUUUUAAUAUUGAUGUGGUGAAAUAGUUUCCCACUAAGCACACAUACAUAUAGAGGCGUGUGAUUAUGUGCAUAUCAACGGUUAAUGAACACCCAAUGUAUUUGAUGACGUAAAAAAUAAAUCACCUAAUGUGUUGAAGCUGGGAGAGCAAAGUAGGUCACGUGCUCACGAGCUAGAUAGUCCUGAGAACUUUAAUUUACUCUAGGAUCCUGCGAACAGAAAACACGUAAUCUAAGCCGGGGGUCGAUCCGGCGGAAACCCCUCCGACGCUCAAGUCAGACGUGAAGAUAGUUGGUAAUUGUGGAGAGAAUUCGAAUAGAAGAAUUGAGGGAAUAAUAGUAACGUACCUUCAUUCAAUGAAUUUAAGUUCUAUUUAUACUUUAUUGAUUGGGUCGAGACAAUUUAUCGGGCCCAACCUUAUUUGGGUUCGAUUGGGCCUCUGUAGAAAUAGCUAUUAAGUUGGGCCUGUGGUCCAGUAAAUGUGGGCUAUUGGGCUGGGCCAAUAGGUAUAUCAUUAAGCCCCCCACUCUCGAAUCGAUGUGGGAGCGAAUUGGAGAGAGGUGCCGGAUCGUGUCGAGAGUAGAAUUGGAUUUCAAUUACUUGCUUGUGUCGUUGAGGUGAGGAUAAUAAUAAAAUUUUAUUAUUAUUUUGUUGUCCCAUCGGUGAGCGGAUUCAUAUUUAAAGGGCUUUAAAUAUAAAUUUGUGCGUAGGAGUAGGUAAUUCCUUGUGAAAGCAGGAGAGAGGAGUAUCAAGAACCACGUCGAAUAAAUAUGGGUGAGUAAUACUAUUUUUUAUUUUAUAUAUCUCCGAAACCUAUUUUGCUCCAUAUAUACUCCGUUGUAGAAAAUAAUAUAUUCUCUGGGGUGAGAAGAUCCUCAGAUAGAAGAAUUUAUAUGUCCCAAACGGUGAAGGCGAAACAGUUGAAAAUUAUCUUGAGAAAUUCGUUUGAGGAAACCGGGAGGCCCUUUGGAACGGUAGGGAAGGUAUUUGGGUCGAGUUCUGGGAAAAAAAUUGCACCGGAGAAAGAAAUGAUUCGUCCCGAUUGCAGGCGAUUAGGUUUAUCGGGAGAAAUUGUGGCUGAACCAGUGGAGGAACCCGCGCGGCUGGAAGAUAUGAGGGGAGCCGCGCGAUUGGGCUCCGCGAGAAGUGGAGCCGCGCUAUCUGAGUUGGGAGGUGAAGACGGGCAGGGAGCCCGAAUUGUAGUGGAGAGAGAAGAGAGAGAGAAGGAGGGGGAAGGAGGGGUAGGUGGGGCUGGAGGGGUGGUGCACGUGGGGGGGGGUGAUAGGCAGGAGAGAGAAGGAAGGGGUAGGGGGGUAGGUAGGCAGGAGAGAGAGAGAGAGGAGGGAAGGGGUAGGGGGGUAGGUAGGCAGGAGAGAGAAAGAGAGGAGGGAAGGGGUAGGGGGGUAGGUAGGCAGGAGAGAGAGAGAGAGAGGAGGGAAGGGGUAGGGGGGUAGGGCGGGGUGCAUCGAAAAAUAUAAAAGAAAAUAAAAACGGCGCGCGGGAGGAGGGGUUUCAGACGCGCCCGCGCGUGGGGGCGCGUUGGGGGGCGCGUGCGGGCGCGUGGGGGGGCCGUUUUCGGCCGUUUUCGAGGAGCAUCCUCGCGUUUCUUCUCCCGAUGAUUUUUUGGCAUCAAAUGUUGGUAUUCCUAAUAUUGGUGAUGAUGUUGGUACUAGUAGGAGACGUAUUCGGUCUCAAUUUGUGGACUUUGGGAGUGAUAGUGAAGAAUCGCUUAAGUCGAAUUCUUCUAAGGAGUCGGACGGAUCUGAGGGAUCCGAGAGUGAUGUAAAUCCGGAUGGAGACGCGGGAGAUGGUGAUGAUAUUCCACGAGAAGAUGUCAUUAUAGAUAAAAAUAAAGGGAAGAAAAUAAAACCACUUAAUUUGAAUUUGGUGGAUUAUGAUACUUCGUUAACCGAAUCUCAAUUCGGUAUUCUCCGUCAGCUAGUUGGGGCUCCGAGGAAUAUUGAGAUGCUCUUACCUAAAAAAGGUGAACGAUUGUAUGCACCCCCCGUAGGGUUCCACACCCAAUACGUCGCAUAUUUGACAUGUUCCUCGCAGAUUGUGCCUCACUCCACUCUUUUGAAUGUAUGUGAGGAAUUUCGGAUAGGAUAUAGUCAAUUAACUCCGAACGUGAUUCUCACGUUCGAAGCUUUUCGACAAAGAAUGAUCGAAGUAGGAUUACCGAUUAGUGUUGAGAUGUUCAAGGCCUUGUUUACCCUACAUCGUUCAAGUGAUUUACCCUUCUUCUGCACACAUCCUCGGGUUCCUUUCAGAUUUUUGAAGAGUAUUAGCUUGAAGUGGGAUAAAUGGAGUACUUUAUUUUUUUAUGUAAGGGCUCCGACGUCUGAUGUUCCGCUUGUUUGGAAUUCGGUAUGCGAAUCUUUUAAGAUAAUGAAGAAUAUGAAGAAACGUAUUAAUGAGUCGGGGUUGUGUGCUUUGGAGUUCGAUCCGAGUUGUCUUAUUCCAAAGGGUCGGGCGCCUACACCGUUGCGUGUAGUCUACAUGUUUUAUGCAUUUGUGCCUUAUUUUGUGUUGUCUCUGCUAUUCUAUUUUAUNNNNNNNNNNNNNNNNNNNNNNNNNNNNNNNNNNNNNNNNNNNNNNNNNNNNNNNNNNNNNNNNNNNNNNNNNNNNNNNNNNNNNNNNNNNNNNNNNNNNNNNNNNNUCCUUUGAGCAAGCGAAAUCAAGUAGUAGCAAAUCGCGCGAAGUGACCCGCGUGGAGGCUCCGCAUGUGAGCGGAGAUGAUCGUAAUCAUAAUGUCGAGGGGGGUGAGCUGGAUCGAGUGGUUAAUAAUGGGAAGGAUGAGUUGGUUGAGAUCGAGUAUGUGCCUGCACCGAAACGGCCUCGAGUGGAUCCUGAGGUUUCUCAUGUGCCUCCAGGGGGUGCAGGCAAAUGCCUGUUCACGUACGGGGUGAACCGAGAGGGGAAGGAUUCUUUGUGGGAUACGACCGAUCAUACUAUCGCGUUGAAGAAGACCGAGGAUUUCGUUGGGGAGGACGACCGAAGUCGGAUGUCGGGUAAAGGUCGUGCUCAUAUGCUUUCAUUGGCUGGAGGAGACAUGUGUCGGGUAAAAUUUUUUUUUUUUUUUUUUUUUUUUAAAUUAUAAGUUUCGAUAAUCUAAUAUUAUCUGUUUGAAUUUUGAUAUAGCUUAUAGCUAUAUGGAGGUAUCUUCUGGAGCAGGAGGAGCAAGUCGAGAAGACCAAUGAGGAGGAGCGUUCUGGUUGGGAGGCAAGGGAGAAAGAGCUAAAGGCUCAAUUGGAGGCAGCAGAAUCCAAACUAGAAGUGGCCGAGACUCUGCUCAUUCAGAGGACCGAUGAAUUGGAGAUUAGUAGGAGCGAGACCGAGGCGAGUAAAAUUGAACUAAUGAAACUAGAUCGGUGUUAUGACGAGCUGAAGGAGAAAUAUGAUGUCGAGAAGUUUACGGGGAAGAGGUUUUUGGCUUCCUCAGCUGGAGCUGCUUACAAGGAAUCAAUUAUGUUAGAAGGGGAAAGUCGCUUUCAGAAGAGUGAUAUCUGUCGAGCUAUGAUCGAAGAUCGAGCAAUAGCUGGGGUUUAUGCUCCUUUGGUUAGGACGUGUCGUCAGUAUUUACGCAAGGUUGGUGGAAUCGACGAGAAGAUUAUUCGAGGUAUGGAGGAGGACAUUCCUGAUGAUGGAGAGGAUAUUGAUGUUGAGUGUACUGAAAUUGCUUCGGAUGCGGAAGCGGAUGACCGAACUACCGAAGCUACUUCUGCUCGUAAAGUGUAGUUUGGUGUGAUGUUAUGUUUAUUUUCCUUAGAAAAGACUUGGUUUUUUUUUUUUUUUUUUAUUAAGUGGGUAUGUCCACUAGUAUUUUUGCAUGCUUCAUGACUUGGUAUUUGUUUGCACCUUGAGACGUUGAUUUUGCUAUCAAAGUUAUUGUUUCUUUUUAUUCAUUGAUUUCGCACUAAUGUUUUGCAUAUAGCAUUGUUCGAGAUAUUCUUGAUGAGGGGAUCAGUCUCUCAAGAUUUUUUUAUAUUUUUUUGGGAUCAUGCCCUUUAUUUUGGACCUCGUAGGUCGGAAUAUUAUUUAGUCCAUGGCCACGUUUUAAGCAUGAGGACCCUGAAAAUCAAAAUAGAGAGACUCAGAUAAUCCAGCUGGCCAGGCUAUAUGAACUAUCUUAAUUUCUCUAAGUGGUUUUAGGGUUGAAGUGAGAUGAACCCGUCGUAACGGUUAAGUAGUAUAUGAACAAUAACUUUGAGAGUAAAGUAAAAACUUGAUUUAAUCAUUAAUAAGAAAUGCGAAUUGUCAUAAGCUUCCGUGAGGCGAAGGGAAAUAACUUGUAAAAAACAAAUAAAUCGAACUAUUGAAAAGUAAUCUAUGGGACUAUAAGAGAUUCUAUUUUUCUUCCACGUCUUCCUUGUGCUCAUCCGUGCUUGGUGUAGGGUAGUAUGUCUACUGUCUUUUGGUGUCUCUUUGCCUGAAAAGUAUCGGAGUAAAAAAAAAAUUCAAGUACUUGUAUUGAAGACUUAAUAGUUUCAUAAGUUGGAGUGAUUGUGUAUUUGGGAUCACGUACUCAAUAUUGGGACUUUUUCUGUUCCUCGCAUUCCGAGAUAUGAGAGCAACUCAUGAGUUGCGGUGGAUUGCUGCGCGACCCUGCCUGUCAAAGGAGAUGGCGUUAUUGUUUAGUAUAGAGACCCACUAAUGUGCUUGUGAUAUGACUUAGUAAAAGUGGUGUUACCCUUAGUGAGAUAGUACAGAGUAUCUUCUCUCUUUGGGUGAAUGGUGGUCGGUAAGCGUCCUCUCGUAAUUGGCUCUCAAUCUGUAAGAAGAUGAUGAGACGUGUUACGGAAGGUUGAUGUAGAUAAUAUCACUAGCCCCCCAGUUUGGGAGGGAUGUUUACACACCUCGUUAUGGAGUCCCUUCUCGAGCUUUUAGAGACAUUUUUGCAUGAAGAGAGACGUGGAAGGUUGUGAAGCCUGCAAGGCGACUUUCCUAUGAGGAAGAUGUAGAUGUAAACUUAAACAAAUUUGAUUUAAGAUGAAUGUAUACCUCAAGCGUAGAACCUUUUGAGAUUCCCUAUAUUCCAGGUUCUGGGUAUAGGGUGUCCGUCAAGGUUCUCGAGACGAUAUGCUCCAUUGUUAAUCACUUGUGUGAUUUUAUAUGGUCCUUCCCACUUCGGGUCGAGUUUCCCGAUUGGGCGUGAGGCUUCGGCUUUGCGGAGAACUAAAUCUCCUACUUGGAAAGAGCGAGGGCGGACUUUGGAGUUAUAAACUUUCGCCAUGCGACUCUUGUACAUUUGCUGUCUGAUGGAUGCAAUCUCUCUUAGCUCGUCGACGAGAUCGAGGUUAGCCCUCAUUGCUUCUUCAUUCUCCUCUGGUGAAUAAUUGAUGACUCUCCAAGAGGGUUCUCCAAUCUCUACGGGUGCUACAGCCUCUGUUCCAAAAGCUAAGUUAAAUGGAGAUUCUCCUGUUGCUGUUCGUGGGGUUGUUCGAUAUGCCCACAGAGCAUUGGGUAAUUCUUCAACCCACUUUCCCUUGGCACUUCCAAGCCUUGUCUUGAGAUGUUGAAGUAUCGUGCGAUUGGUUACUUCAGUUUGACCAUUUGCUUGGGGGUUUGCCACCGAAGUGAAGAAUUGCUUAAUAGAUAAGCCAAGGCACCAACUCUUGACUUUGUCUCCACAAAAUUGUGUUCCAUUGUCCGAAAUAAUGGAACGGGGAAUGCCGAAGCGGCACACAAUGUUUUUCCAAAGGAAUUGAAUGACGUCUUCUUCUCGAAUGCGAGCUAAAGGUUCUGCUUCUACCCACUUGGUGAAGUAAUCUACAGCUACAAUGAGGAACUUGCGUCCUCCUGUUGCUGGUGGAAAAGGACCGACCAAGUCAACUCCCCAUUGAGCGAAAGGUAUGGGACUGUCAAUCGGUUGCAUCAAUGCUGCGGGGAGAUGAAGGAUGUUAGCGUGUUCUUGGCAAGGCUUGCAUCUCUGCACUAGUUUUUUCGCAUCUUCAUGCAUGGUGGGCCAAUAGUAACCUUGUCUCAAUAUUUUGAGAGCUAAGUUUCUUCCACUUAAAUGAUUACCACAAAUGCCUUCAUGUACUUCCCGAAGCACAUAGUCUGCUGCUGAUGGGUUAAGGCAUUUAAGAUAGGGGGAGGAGAACCCUCGCUUGUAGAGAUCUUCACCUAUCAUUAGGAAACGGGCCGCCCUUACCUUUAUUUUCUUCGCUUGGGCGAUGUCAGUCGGAAGUUCCCCGCUUUUGAGAUAGUUUGUAAUGGGGGUGAUCCAACAGGGUUCGCUCUCUUCAGCGCAAUUCACUCCGUCGGUGAAGACUAUUUCUGGUUGGGAAGCCGUGAGGAGGGUGAUUUUCCGGCUUCCAAUGCUUGCCAUGGAACUACCAAGUCUAGCCAACUUGUCUGCAUCAAUAUUGUUGGCUCGUGGUACUUGCUUUAUCUCGUAGCUAUCCAAUUUUGAGAGGAGGGUAAGUGCAAGAGCAAGGUACUUUGCCAUGGAUUCUUCUUUGGCUUCAUAGUUCCCAAGGACUUGGUUACCACCAACUGGGAGUCGCUGUGUACUAUGAUUUUGCGAGCUCCAGCUGCUAAAGCGAGGCGGAUACCAGCGAUCAAAGCUUCAUAUUCGGCUUCGUUAUUGGAGGCUUUGAAAUCAAACCGUUUAGCAUACUCGAAUUCAUCGCCAUCUGGGCUUGUUAGUACAAUACCCGCGCCUCCUCCUGUAGCGGUGGAUGAUCCAUCAACAUUGAUGGCCCAAGUGGGUAUGGAUGUGCUCUCUUCCGAUGUAGUCAUCUCUACUAUAAAGUCUGCUAGGAUUUGAGCUUUGAUGGCUGGGCGUGGUUUGAACUCGACCCCAUAUUCACUUAGCUCUAUAGCCCAUUUAGCUAAUCGUCCGGAAGUCUCGGGACUUCUCAAUAUUUGUUUAAGGGGAUAGUUGGUGAGAACUAUCACCUGGUGCGACUGGAAGUACGGACGUAACUUUCUAGCUGCAUUGAUGAGCGCGAGAGCAAGUUUCUCCAUAUUGGUGUAACGGUGCUCUGGACCUUGGAGAGCUCGGCUUAUGUAAUAUAUCGGUUGGUGACCUUUUUCACCAUCCCGAAUGAGCACUGCGCUAAUGGCAUCAGCAGAAAUGGCCAAGUAUAGGAAAAGAGUAUCUCCCGGCUGGGGCUUCGUUAGUAGAGGUGGGGAAGUGAGAUAUGCUUUCAAUUCUGUGAAAGCUCUUUGACAGUCUUCAUUCCACUCAAACUUUUUCCCACCUCUUAGUAUCUUGAAGAAAGGAAGACCCUUAUCAGCCGAUCGGGAUAUAAAUCGGUUUAGGGCUGCCAAACAACCAUUAAGUUGUUGGACCUUCUUAAUCGAUGUGGGAGGGGCCAUGGAUGUGAUAGCUUCAAUCUUUGCUGGGUUGGCUUCAAUUCCCCGUUGUGAUAUCAUAUACCCUAAGAAUUUUCCGCCUCGAACUCCAAAAGAACAUUUUAGGGGAUUGAGCUUCAUCUUGUAUUUACGUAAGAUGGAGAAGCAUUGACUUAAAUCGGUUAGGUGAUCCGCGACUUUAAUACUCUUGACAAGCAUGUCAUCAAUGUACACUUCCAUGUUCUUACCAAUCAAGUCCGCGAACAUCGUGUUCACCAGGCGUUGGUAAGUAGCUCCUGCAUUCUUGAGACCGAACGGCAUAACUCGAUAGCAAUAGAUGCCUUGGUCAGUAAUGAAACUAGCUCUCUCUUGAUCUUCUGGGGCGAGCAAUAUUUGGUUGUAUCCUUGAUAUGCAUCAAGGAAGCUAAGAAGUUCGCACCCUGAGGUUGAGUCUAUGAGCUGGUCGAUCCUUGGUAAUGGAAAUGGAUCCUUCGGGCAUGCCUUGUUGAGGUCGGUGAAGUCUACACAUAGCCUCCACUUGCCUCCGGGUUUAGGUACUAAUACCACAUUGGAUAACCACUCGGGAUACUGAACCGAUCUAAUGUGGCCUGCAUCUAAGAGUUUUGCCACUUCCUCUUUGAUAUGUUUGUUGCGCUCAGGACCGAAAGUCCUUUUACGUUGCUUGACCGGUUUCAAUCUUUUGUCAACGUUUAGUCGAUGCAAAGCUACUUUUGGAGGAAUUCCCGUUAGAUCUUGAGCUUUCCAAGCAAAUACGUCUCCAUUGUGCCUAAGGAAGUUAACUAGCUGAUUCUCCACUUCUUGAUCUAGAUCAGAGCCGAUGCGGAGAAGCUUAGAAUUAUCUCCGGGUAUGAGUUCUACUGAUUUUAGUUCUUCAAUUGCGGCUAGCUUAGCGGUGUCGUCGGGUACGCUGAUUAGGAUUUCUUUAUCAGCUUCGAUGACCGCGUUGACCCAUUUUCGCUUAUCUUGUCUCGGGGUGUCGUCUCCUUUCCCUAAAGGAUUAGGUCUCUUAGAUGGUUCACGUAGAACUCUUGCAUAACAUUCUCGAGCGAGACGCCUAUCUCCAAGUACCUCUCCCAUCCCGUAAGGAGUGGGGAAUUUCCACUUUUGGUGGUAAGAUGAAGGCACAGACUUGAAUGUAUGGAUCGCGGGCCUUCCCACGAUGAUGUUAUAAGGGGAUGGCUUGUCGACGAUAAGGAAUUUUAUCAUUUUCGUUACUCGACAAGGAUCUUCCCCUAAGGAGAUGGGUAACUCUACUUCCCCCAUGGAUAAAACACUUUCUCCCGUGAAUCCUUUCAGUGGUGUAGUGAUGGGAUUGAACCGUGCGUUGUCUAUGCCUAGCUGUUUGAAUGUGUGGAGAUACAUAAUGUCGGCUGAGCUCCCACCGUCCACUAAUAUCUUUUUAACUAUGAAGUUGGCCACCGUUGCAGUUAUCACCAACGCAUCGACAUGAUCUUCAUCUGGUCCUUCAAGGUCUGAGGAGUUGAAGACUAUGCCAUGAUCAGGUCUUCGUAUUUGAUAGACGGAUGCGGAUGGAGAAGCAUGUUCUUGAUUCAUGCGUGCUGAUCGAGCGAGGGUGCGUCUCGCAUUUUGUGAGUCGCCACCUGCCGGUCCUCCGGAGAUAAAAGAGAUGAUUCCUCGGGUGGGUUGGUUAUCAUUGUUAUCUGGGUCGCGCCGAUGACCCCCAUCUUCUCGUCGUUGUUGUUGAUCUCGAUUGUUAUCUCGGCGUGAAAGAUCAUCACGACGCUUAUUUCGAGGCUUAUCAAUAUAUUCGCUUAAGUGGCCUUGCUUGAUCAACCUCUCAANNNNNNNNNNNNNNNNNNNNNNNNNNNNNNNNNNNNNNNNNNNNNNNNNNNNNNNNNNNNNNNNNNNNNNNNNNNNNNNNNNNNNNNNNNNNNNNNNNNNCUGUGGAAUCGACAAUAGCGAUUCCGAUUUUCUUCGUUUCGCAUUGGGUUGCAUUGGGCGUGGAGGCUCUGCCGACCUUUUUGUUCAUCACAUGAAGUAUUUCGGUGAGGCGAGUAUUGAGUGGAGUGAAUCGAUUAUAAGUUGAAGAUGAUUGGCCUUGAGGUGGGGGUGGAGGACGUCGAUCAUCUCGUCUCCUAAUAUCCGGGCGGUCAUCUUCUCUCUUCCUCUUGGGAGGAGCAUUGGCAGAAGCUUACUCUAUGCGUAUGUAUUUUUCAGCUCGAUUUAACAACUCAUCUAAGUUGCCAGGAGGUCUUCCUGCGAUAGAUUCUUUGAACCUACCCGACUUCAGGUUUUGCUGCAUAAUCCCUGAGAGCAUAUCUUGUCCUACACUGGGAACUUCAUGAACAGCCUCCACGAAACGCCUGAUGUAGUUGCGGAGUGUUUCAUUGUCUCUCUGUACGAUAGAGAAGAGAUGUGCUGGAGUUUUAGCAUAUUGCUUAUUGAUGGCAAAUUGGUUGGUGAAGCGCAAUGAUAACUGAGCGAAAGUGUCAAUUGAUCCUGUGGGCAGAGCGUUGAACCAAUUCAUGGCUCUCUUGGAUAGAGUGGUGCGGAACAUCUUGCACAUUGCUGCAUCUGUUGGGCCAUAUAAAUCUGCCAUAGCGUGGAACUUCUCUAUGUGUUCCUGCGGGUCGGUAGUUCCUUCGAACUGAGGUAAGCCUGAUACUUUCACUCCUUGAGGUAAUACCUCGUUGAGGAUGUUCAGGGUGAAAGGACUGCGCCUUGUUGGGAUUGGUGCUCUUCCGUCAAUUGGGUUGUGCAAUCUGGGGAACUGGUUUUGGCGAGACACUCUACUAUUUAUCUCGUCUUCCCCUUCAUUAAAGAUAUGAGCUCUUCGUAGAGACGCAUCACCCCGUUGGAGUGAAUGGUGGCGUUGUUGUCUGGGUUGCGGCUCCCUGUGAUUGGUAGAUAGCUGCAUCCGGGAUCUUGGAUCUGAGGUGGAUGAAGAUACACUUAUCCGAUCGUCAUUGUUCUGGGCUGGUUGCUGUACCCUGGGUGGCAUUGCGGGUGGAGCAUUAGCUGGGAUCACGGGGGGAGCGUUAGCUGGGAUCGCGGGGGGAGCGUUUGCUGCCAUCGUGGCGAUGUAUUGUGCCACCGCAUCAGUGGCGGCGCGAGUAGAAACUUCUGUUAUCAUCCGUUGGAGUGCCUCCUCGGUUAUUUGAACCGUUCGAGAAGCAGGUAGAGGUGGAACCUGUAGUGGAGGAUCGGCGAGUGGUGGAUCCCGAGGGGGAAUCACCUGAACCUCGCGUGGUGGAUCCAGAGCACGUGGAGGAGGUGGUAAGCCAGAGCCUCCUCGAACCGGAAGGUUGUUAGCUGUGUCACUCUCUCUCCGAGUGGACUCAGGAGGAUCUUGCUGGCUACGUGAUCUGGUCUGCAUUCCCACAGACGGCGCCAAAAUGAUGACGUAAAAAAUAAAUCACCUAAUGUGUUGAAGCUGGGAGAGCAAAGUAGGUCACGUGCUCACGAGCUAGAUAGUCCUGAGAACUUUAAUUUACUCUAGGAUCCUGCGAACAGAAAACACGUAAUCUAAGCCGGGGGUCGAUCCGGCGGAAACCCCUCCGACGCUCAAGUCAGACGUGAAGAUAGUUGGUAAUUGUGGAGAGAAUUCGAAUAGAAGAAUUGAGGGAAUAAUAAUAACGUACCUUCAUUCAAUGAAUUUAAGUUCUAUUUAUACUUUAUUGAUUGGGUCGAGACAAUUUAUCGGGCCCAACCUUAUUUGGGUUCGAUUGGGCCUCUGUAGAAAUAGCUAUUAAGUUGGGCAUGUGGUCCAGUAAAUGUGGGCUAUUGGGCUGGGCCAAUAGGUAUAUCAGUAUUUAAUCGGAUGUACGAGUCCUUCAUUUUAUUUAUUAUUAUUUUUUUUAAUCAUAUAGAAUUCAUGUUUUAGAAAAGAAAAACAAAAUUAAUGUUUCAUAUUUUGUGAUUCAAAAAACCAAAAAGAAAACAGCCGCCGCCUUUGCUUAGUCAGAAGUCAAAACCAAUCUCUCUCUCUCUCACGUAAUUUGCAAGCCAAUUUAAAAUUUUCAUCCUUUCUAAAAUGUGCAUUACGACGUCGUAGAAUAUUAUAUGAUAUAUAUACUUGUUAAUAAAAUAAACAAAAGAAAAUGAAAAGCAAAUAUUGAGUGAAAUAACAACUAGGUUACGCCUCUCACCGGGCCCACUUUCGACUUUCCCUUGGAGUUAUUACAUUCUUAUUUGACUCAUUCAAAUGUUUGAUUACGAGCCAAGUUUCGUUGUUUAGUCAAGCUCAAAAUGGAAUCAAUUCUCUCGAGUUCGAUUCGAGCUUUUGUCGAGUCGACUCGGCUCAUUUACACCCCUAAUUACGACUAGGCGAGUUUUAAGAAUUUGUGAGAGAGGAACCUCUAGCUAUAUUAUAUAAUGUAGACUAAUUCAUUUGAAGAGUCUAAAUACGACUCUACAUUACUUUUU
rnacentral:lncRNA from 1 species